UUUUUUUUUUUUAGUUUCAAGUUAUACAUGACAUAAACCAAGUCAUUCAUCUUUUUUUUUAAUAUAAACAAUUUCUUCCUUUUGUAUGAACAUAUAUACAAAUAUGAAAUUUUAAAACUAUACUAACCAAAUAAAGAAAAUUAAAAACCACAGAGAACUUGAAAAAGUUGAGUUAGCAUUUCAAAUAGCUCCAAUUACUACUACAAAAAAAUCAUGAAAUAGAAACUAAUUUUUAGUGACAAAAAAUAAUUAGUUGCUAUAGUGACGAAAUUAGAUACCAUUUUAGAGACUAAAAAAUUUUUGGUUUCUAAAUUAGUUUUUAUUAUCGUUAAAUGGUUUCUAAAUUGGUAUCUAAUUAGCAACCAAGGAGUAGGUUGUAGGAUGAUGGAGCGUUGACGACUAUGUAUUUGAUGGUUAUGGUGCUCGUCGCUUCCCCAUCCAAGAAGGUCGUGUGUAGCUCCUCACAUCCUCACACUUCGACAUGGUCCCCAUUGGAACCGACGAGGCAUCCAUCGAAGGGUCAAAGCUGAUCGGGGGGAAUUUGGAGGCCGAGGUACGUGUCCCAAAACAUGACGUCCACAGAGCUUCCUUGGUCAAUCAACACCCAAUGUACAUUACGCCCCAUGGUAACAACUGAGAGUACCACAGGGUCCUCCUCAUGGGGGUACAUAUCUUACAGAUUUGUAGGAGUGAAACAAAGAGAAGGAACUACAGGGGGUCACCGAGUCUGUAAGGAUAAUACCGAUCUCGAGUAUUGCUUCCGAGCUGAUGAAGAAGUCCCCCACCCGAGCAUCCGCCAGCUAUUGUAUUCAGAUCCCCCAUCACGAGAAUUUCAUGGUUGUGCUCCUACGAUUGGUUUCCCCCCUUUCGAUCGAUAUCAAAACUUCUGACAUAUUUCAUUAUAAAACCUUCUUUAACUAGUUUAACAAGCUGAUAUUUCAAGGUCAGACACCUCUCUGUGUCGUGGCCACGACCUUAAUAAAAUUGGCCUUCCUUCUUGCAUCUAAUACAUGAUCGAUUUUCGCAAACUUUUAAGUCAAGAAUGAAAUUACUUCGAGAAACAAUUGAUAAGGAAAUCAGUUUGCCAAAACACAAAGCAAAAAAUCACAGCACCAGAAAAACAAUCGGUUGUUUCGCAGAAACAAUCGGUUGUUUAUACCAGUUCACAACUAACAAAACUUAAUUUAAAGAGAUUAAGGAUAGAGAGAAAGCACACAGAGGUUUAUACUGGUUCACUCUAAACCAGAGCUACAUCUAGUCUUCCUAGAAACCAUUGGGGAAUCCACUAAGCAAUCAACCCUAGAUCACUUACAACACAACCAAAGAAGUGACCUUGAUCCCCUCAAGACACACACUUCCUUUGGUCCAGCACAACCAUACUAAGAAUGCUGAUCUUGAUCCCCUCAAGAACACAUAACACUUCUCAGCAAACACACAAGGUUCUUUCAAAAGAUACAAAGGAUUACACUUGUUACAGAACAAAUCUGAAAUCAAUACAAGAUGAAAAAUCCUAUCUCACACUUCUUUGAUCAAACUUAAUCUCUAAGCAAUUCUCAACUUUUCAAAAUCUCAAUCUCUUGAAAAACUCAAAUAUGUUUUUCUGUAUAUAUUCAAAGUUGUUGUUUGUUAUCAAAUCUUAACAAGCUAUUCAUUGCAUUUAAAGUUUGGUCAAAGAAUUAAAAACUGGAGCGUAAACAGUUAGAAAAUCAUUUAAUGCUCAGUCAAAGCACAAAACAGUUUUUUGUUAUGGUACCAAAACAAACAAUUUGUUGUUUCCACUAAUCAAUCGGUUGUUUUGGUUUUGACAGCAAGUCAACCAUUGAAAACAGUUUUCAACCUUUUUAAAAACUCCUAAGUAUAAAACAAUCGGUUAUUUCGACAAAACAACAGGUUGUUUUUCACUUAGUUUGAAAAACACUUUUCUUUUAAAAGGAUUGAGAAUACUUAUGUUUUGGAUUCAAUCAAGAGUGGAUAAUACAUAAAAUCUACCCCAUAUCCUAACUAAAAGGCAGCUCAGCAACAACAAACACAACUAGCCUUUGAUCAUCCUUCAAAGGGUUUGGAUUCUUCAAAGCUUGAACACACUUGGUUCAACAUAUUAAAUUAGUAAUAUUAAGUGUUACAUUAAUAAUUAUAAUAAAGAACAUUAAUAUGAAGUAUUUAAUUAUUCAUUAAAUACAAUAAUAGAUGUAAUAAAUACUAUUACUGAAAAGCAUUUAACUAUAUUUAUUAAGUAAUUAAUUGAUUUGUGGAAGACAACUAAGUCCAUUUAAGAGAUCAAAUGUUUGAAUUUAAAGAUAUUGUCAUGACAUAAAAUAAUUUUACUCGAAAUUAAGUAUUUUAUUAGGGUUUAAUCUUUAUGUUUAUCUAUAAUAAUAUAUAAAGAAAAUUCUUUUUUUUUUCUGUACACAUCUCUUUUUCUAAUUUUAUCCUUUAUGAAAAAUAUGAUAAAAUUAAAUUUAAAAAUUUGAAUUAAAAAAAAACUAGAAAACACAAUUUUUGAAUUUGAAAAAAAAAAUUACAGAACACAAUUUUUGAAUUUAAAGCUCAAAAUUUGAAUUUGAAAAAAAACCUAACAAUAUACAAAGAGGAUUAUGUACACAUUUUUGUUUCUAAUUUUAUCCGAUUUUAAAAUAUGACAAAUUUUAAUUUGAAAAAAAAAACUAAAAAUUCUAAAGUAAAAAUUUGAAUUGACAAAAAAAUAGAAAACAAAACUUUUUUAAUAUAAAGGAUAAAAAGGGAGAAUGAAAACACAGCUAUCAUACAAAUCUAUCUUCUUUUGUCUUUUUCUUAUAUCAUUCGAUUCUUUUGUAUUCACUGCAUAGCAUGCAUUCAGCCUACAUAAUCAUGUAAUUGUAAAUAUAUGUAUAUUACAUAUAUCUUUAUUUUAUAAUUUAUUGAUAAUUGACAUUUUUCAAUAAGAAACUAAAUUAGUGAAACAAUGUAACAUUUAAAAGGAUGAUACAUUGAUUAAAUCAAUUUUAACCAACAAAUUGAAAUAAUUUUACAUUGAUAAUGAUAUUGACAUUUUUUAUUAAUAUAAAAUUUUAAUGAUUAUAAUUUCAAUCUUCUUACAAAACAAAAUAUCUAUAUUUAUAAGAUUAUUAUAAUUUAUUUAAUUUCUUUUAUUGUAGAUUAUAUAUUAUUAAUAUGUCAUAAAUACAUUACAUAAAUAUUUUAAAAAUUAAGAAAUUAUAGAUGAAGUGUUUUACACUGAAUUAAGAAAACUCCUAACUUAUGUUUUCUAUUUAAAUAACAUAAAUUUAUUCAAUUAUUAUAAUUUAAUAAAUAUAAAUAUAUUCAUUAAUAUAAAUUUUACUUCUUAUGAAUAAGAAAUUUUGAAUAUCCAUCUUUAUUUAGUCUCUCAUUUAAAUAAAAAUUUAUUAUUACAAAAUGGUAAUAUUACACAUUGGUAUUUUCUUCUAUAUAUAAAUAUAUAUUACAACUUGUAAUUAUAGUUGUAAAUUUAUCAUCUAUUAAUUAAUAAAUUAUUAUAAAUUUAUAGUAUAAUAAUAUUAUAUAAAAAAAUAAUUAAAAAGACACGCACACAAUUUUUGGUAGUACGUGAGAAAAUGUAUAUAAAGAAAUAUUAGUUAUUUAAAUAAAUAUAUAAUUCUGCAUCAUAAUUAUAAAUUAGUUCUUUCACUUUACUGAUACCAAAGUAACAUUUUCCGUUUUAACAUACUCCUCUCUAAUAUAUUACCUUUAACUUUCCCCAUUUUAGUGUUUCGAGAUCCAAACGCACAUAAACAAAGCAACACAGAGAUUCUUUUCUCUCUCUCUGACACCGCACAAAAAGCAGCACAUCCUUAUAAAUGCCAUCACUCUUUGUAUGAGCAAACUGCCAUCAAAACAAAGAUGCUUCUCUCACCUUUUCUCACACUCACUAUCCUUCUUUUCUUCUCUUCUUCUUCUUCUUCUUCUUCUUCUUCUUCUUCUUCUUCUUCUUCUUCUGUCUCUGCAAUCUAUUCAACUCCAACAUGUUCCAACAUAGUGCCGUUCAAAAAUCGCACCGACAGAAUCUCCAUAACUGACUAUGGAGGUGUUGGCGACGGCCGCACUCUGAACACGAAAGCGUUCAGAGAGGCUGUGUACCGCAUUGAGCACCUGAAAAGGCCCGGAGGCACGGUGCUGUACGUGCCUCAGGGAGUGUACGUGACGGAGAGCUUCAACCUCACCAGUCACAUGACGCUUUAUCUGGCUGCCGGUGCCGUUAUCAAAGCCCAACAGGUAAGGUUAACUCGUUCGUUCAAUGUUCAUCUUCUCAAAAAUAAAUUCUUAAUUCAAUUUUUUAAGUUUUGUUAAAUUUAAAUUUAACUCUUUUCAGUUAAAUUUUUAUUAAGAAUUAAGUUUUAUAAAAUAUCCAAAAGAAUUAUACUUUUAAAUUAAAUUUUUAUGCUUUGAUUUUACAGUAAAUUGGAGUUUAAUGAUGGUUAUUUUGUAUUGAUAUUGCUUAUUUCUCUUCGCAUCAAAAAUAAGAAAGCUGUUUAGUUAAGUUUUAAUUUUUUUUUAUAAAUCUAAGUAUUUUUAAUUGAUUUUUUUGUUAAAAAAAUUAUUUUAUUAAAAGUUUAAAUUUUUGUAUUUUUAAUUUUAUUUCUACUGUUAAUGGGAUUUAUACGGUUGAAUUUUAUUUGGUUUUGGUAUUUUUAAUUGAAUUUCUACUGUUAAAUUUUUUGUAUUUUUAAUGGAAUUUCUACGUUUGGUUUUGCUGUCUCAAAUAAAAUAAGAUGGAUUUGUAUAAUCUUAAUUAUCUUCGUAAAAGUGAUAACAUUUUAUUUUAUAAAUUAAAUAUUAAAAUAAAAAUCAAAUCAAUUAUGUAAAAUACACAAAAUCUAUUAUGUCAAAAUAUACAACAAUAAUUAUGUUUGUUAAAGAUAAUUAGGGUUUGAGAAUUAUUUUUUAUUAUUUAAUUUUGUGGUGUUUUAUUUGAGAUAGUAAUGUCAUUCCAAUUGACAAGAACUUGGAAAAUAUAAUUUUUUUGGACAUUUUAAUAGAAUAAUUUCUUUAAUAAAAAUUCAAUUUUGAAAAUAUUUAAAUUUAUGAAAAAUUUAAAAUUUAAUUAAUUUUCUUUUUAUUUUUCAUGUAGGAGUGCAUAAGCAAUAACAACAUUCAUGUCAUUCCACUUAAUGGUAAAAUUAGAUGAUAAAGACUUAACUGAAAAGUGUAAAAAUUUUUAAGAAGAAAUUUAAAUAAUUAAAAAUACUUAAAUGAAUGAGGAAUUUAACACUUAAUUAUUAUUUUUUGUUUUCCUUUAUUCUAUUAUAUUUUCUGGUGAAUUUUGAGGGAAUAUGUGAUUUGUUGUUUGGGUUAUGUUUUUUUUUUCUUAAAUUUGAGUUUAUGUCUAUUGUAUUUUAAGAUUAUGAAAAACAGAUAAUAUAAAAUAAUUUUGUAAGAAAUUGUUGAGAAUAUAUUUUUUGUACACAUGUUUGAAUAUAUUGUUUUUCUUUGAUUGAAAUUUAUUACAUAUUAUAAAAGUUAGGAAACUUUUGUGAACAUAUUAUUUUAUUUGAAAAUUUAUAAAUUUUUGUAGGUUUCAUAAAUUGUUUUAAAGAUUCGGUCGUAAUUUUCGAAUUUUAACAUAUAAAAAUGUAGUAGAGAAAUGUACUGCAGAAUUUAUUCAUAGCAUUCCUCCAUUUAUAAUAUCAUUUAGAUAUAUUUUACAAUAUAUAGUUUUAAAUUAUUUAUUUUUUGGUAAUAAGUUUCCUUUUUUGUUUAAAUUAAUGAUGUCUAACUUUGCUCUAUGUUUUCCUUUUUUGUUAAAUUAUUAAAUAAUUAAUGUGUAAUUUAUUGUUUUGGAACUGAUUUAAUAAAUAAUUCUUUUAGAAAUUAAAAUAAUAUAAACACACUAAGUGUUUGUUUGAUUAAAAUUUAAUUUUAAGAAUUAACAUAAUUAAUACUUUAAUUUCUUUAAAAAUUAAUAAUAGUGUGGAAUUCAUUACUUUAAAAGCAACUUUGUAUUAAAAGUAUUUGUUUGUUGACGAGAUUGACCUUGCUAAUAAAACAACAUUUAAAUUAUUUGAAAAUGUAACUCGUUUACAAAUUAAUUUUUUAUUUAACCAAGCAGAAAUCACGCAUUUUUAUAUAUAUUAUCUUAUUUUAAUUAUUUAAAAUUUAUAUUAAUUGUAGUUUUAUUUCUUUAAAUAAAAAUAUUAUUAUAAUCAUUAUUAUUUAUAUUUGAUUUGUAAUUUAUAAUUUAGUAAUAGAGAUUGUAGAUUUACAUGAAAGAGAAGAAAAACAAUGCAAUUAUAUGAUAAAGUAGUAAUGUGAGAGAUUAUUUUAAGUAGUUAACAAUCUUUACUAUCUUUAAAAUUUAAAAUUUUAAAAUAAAAUUAAAGAUAAAAUAAAAAUAUAAAAUGGUAUAUUUAAUUAUAUAUUAUAUAUAGUUAUAAAUUAGAUUGAAUUCUUCAUAGUUUUAAACUCUUUCUACAAUGUGGGUUGUUUUCCAUAUUGUAAUUUGAAUCCUUUAUGUCUUUUUUUUCUUUGUUGUCUAUCAAAGAAAUACCCAAUUAUGAAUUAUGAACAUGAUGAGAUAAUGUGAACCUAGAAAUAAUUUAGCCAUGAAAUUAUAUAAAAAAUUUAAAUCUAACACUAAAUUUCAAAUUAAAAUAACUUGAUAUAUUAUCUUAUUGAGACUAAGUAUGUCGGUGUACAUGUUGGAAGCAGACAAAAACACAUGUAUACUAAUGAAAAAGAGAAAAAAAUUGCAUUAUCAUUUAUUAAUAUAAAUUGUGUGAACAAUUUGUGGUAUAUUUUAGUUUUUCUAGUUCAAAAGUAGAGUCUCUAGACCCCACUUGUCACUAAAACCAAAGCGAUAAAGACUAUAUAGUUCCGGCAAUGCAAAAAGCCAGCAAAUGCCAGCAUAUUUCAGGAAAACCCCAAAAAUUGAAUGGCAGAAUGUGAUACACCAUAAAAGUCAGUUACCAUUUGUGAGAGAAAAAUAAGAUCAAAUGAAGGAUCAAUACGAUGUACUUGUGAAUGAUGAGAGGAACAUUGUACAUGAUAAAGGAUCUGAUACAGUGAUGUAUAAUGAAUCAGUCAAUUGGGAAGUGUUUAUGUUAAUGUUCUAGUCUGAAUUAUGUAAGGUUGGAAAUAUAGAUUAUUUAGAUAGCAAAUAGGUUGCCCAAAACAAAGAAUUCACAUGAAUAUGAAUUAUGGUGGACCUAAAGCUGAAUGGAUGAAAAAAAUUGAUGGGUCCCUUGUCUGCAUAGAUGCAUGUGCCUGAUAUUUAAAGCUUUCACAACUGACAAUGGCUUUGUUGGACAGCUGGUUCCUUGGCUAAUAGCCGUUACUGAUGUCUGUCUUGGAUUAUUUAGUGAACAAUUCAAACAUGAUUUAUUUAUUUAAAAAAUAAAAAUCAAAUGAGGGGUAUCAUGUAAAUUGAUGUAAAACUAAAUUUGAGUACUAUUCAUAUGUUCUUGGGUCCAUUGCAAUGUUAAAUGGAAAGGACCAUGUUAUCAGCAUACCUGAGAAUAAUACUUUUCUGUUGAUAUAUAUUAUGAAAAAUGUUACUUUCAAAUUGACAACUUUACAUGAAAAAACAUCAGUUUAUAAUUAUAAUUUACAUUUCAUUAAAAAGAUAAGUUUUUUUUAAUCUAAUGCAAAGUUAUCAGUACUCAUAUAUUAUUUAGGACAGAGUCAAUUCUCUAAUGAGAUUCUUCCUGAUUGUUUAAUAGUUAGAAAUGGUUUGUCAUCUUGCCUUUUGUGGAACUUGAACGGUAGCAGAAUACAAACUUCAUAUUUAUUUUUUGCUUAUGGUAAUGAACUUGGUUGGAACAAAUAUGUGCUGUGAAUUAAAUAGUGGAAUGGUGAUACUGUAAUUGUAAAGUUAGGACAGAGAGAAGAGAAAAUUACUUGUAGUUAGAGUAUAUAGUUUUUUUUCUAUCAUUUGAGAACUUAGCAUUUGCUAUUUGUGAAAGGAGAAAUUGUUUUUGAAGGGUUUCUAUAAACAGGCUGAAAGUACCUGCCAGAUGGUAUCAGCUUUGUGACUGUUUCAACAUUCAGGUUUUAGAUGCAUGUUGUAAAUCUGUAUAAUUGAACUACACCUAUCAAACUCAUUUGGGAUGUGUAUUUAAGGUGAUAAAUUCAUAUUUUUGCUGCUAGAAUAUGAUUUGAAGUGAAUGCUCCAAGUCCACUGGAAAUCAAAACUCAUCUAUUAUUCCUUCUAACAAGUUUUCUUUUUCUUGAUAGCAAAGGAAACAUGAUAAGAAAACUUCUUUAGAAAAUGUCUCAUUUUUCUUCCCUAGCACACUCUUUAAUGUUGUUCCUCUCUUAGGAUUCAAGGAAUUGGCCUUUAAUUGCACCCUUACCAUCUUAUGGAAGAGGGAGGGAGCUCCCUGGAGGAAGGUAUAUCAGUUUUAUCCAUGGAGAUGGACUUACUGAUGUGGUGAUCACAGGUGGGUAUCAAAUCUUGAAUAUUUUUUGCAAAUUUUGUUUUUUGGGGAAAAUCUUCCUUUCUUGUACUCUUUAUAGACAAACUAAUUUUAAGGGAGCCUUACCCAAUAUUUUUAUAGGUGAGAAUGGGACAAUUGAUGGACAAGGAGAUAUGUGGUGGAACAUGUGGAGGAAGAGAACACUUAAAUAUACAAGACCAAGCCUUGUUGAAUUUGUAAAUUCUCAAGAUAUUAUUAUUUCAAAUUUGAUUUUCAAGAACUCUCCCUUCUGGAAUAUACAUCCAGUUUAUUGCAAGUAUGAAUCAGAAGUAUUUUUAUUUAUAGUAUUUUCAUUUUUUUCAUCACAAGUUGCUUGAAACAAACUAGAAAGGAAUUUGAGAGGUAGAGAUGUUUUCAUGAAAUAUAAUCUCAAAACCCUGUUCCUUCUUUGCAGCAAUGUUGUGGUUCGAUAUGUCACAAUUUUGGCUCCUCGUGACUCUCCCAAUACUGAUGGAGUUGAUCCAGGUAAAUUCCCUCUAAAUAAGCCACAUCUUGUGCAUAUAAUAGUGAACUAGUUUUAGUUUUAGCUUGUAAUAAACAGUCAAAUCCUAAUGCAACCAACUGAUCUCAUUAAGUUUCACUUGUUGGUAUUGAAACAAGUGAAACUGUUAGGGAAGGAAAGUAGUGGUACUAUUAAUGUUGAUUCCACUAAUGCUAUGUGGCUCUUAGCUUUCAAGUAUGAUUUUGUAUGCUUUCAUGGUACAUGAAAUAACAAUUCAACACUAUCAAGUGUUAUGUUGUGAUUGCCAUGAGGUGUUUUGACAAGGCCUAUGUACUAAAUCAUCUGCAUAAUUCAUUUAUGCAGAUUCAAGUUCAAAUGUGUGCAUAGAAGACUCAUACAUAUCAACAGGAGAUGAUCUUGUGGCAGUGAAGAGUGGAUGGGAUGAGUAUGGUAUUGCAUACGGUCGCCCCAGCUCUGGCAUCACCAUCCGACGCCUGACCGGAUCAUCGCCGUUUGCCGGCAUUGCAGUUGGCAGUGAAACCUCUGGUGGGGUGGAGAAUGUGCUUGCUGAAAACAUUAACCUCUUCAACAUGGGAGUAGGCAUCCACAUCAAGACCAACAAAGGCAGGGGAGGGUUUAUCAAGAACAUCACAGUGGCUCAUGUGUAUGUGGAGAAUGCAAGGCAGGGAAUAAAGAUUGCAGGUGAUGUAGGAGGGCACCCAGAUGAGAAGUAUAAUCCUGAUGCUCUCCCUGUUGUGAAAGGCAUCACAAUUAGGAAUGUUUGGGGAGUGAAGGUUAACAGAGCUGGUUUGAUAAAUGGACUGAAAAAUUCUCCUUUCACUGAUGUUUGUUUGUCUGUUAUCAACUUCCAUGGUAUGGCAGGAUCAAGGGCUCCUAAUUGGAAGUGUUCUGAUGUGUCUGGAUUUGCUUAUCAGGUUAGUCCUUGGCCAUGUUCUCAGCUGCACAGCCAAGAACCAGGAUCCUGUGCCAUUUAGACAUCUUCAUUCUCUUCUAGUAUUGUUCUCAUUCACUCAUUCAAUCACCAUCUUUCCAAUUGUAUGAUAUCAUAUCAAACAAUAAUACCCUACCUAGUAUACUAUUAAUAAUAUUUACCUUAAUUUCAUGCUGAGAUUUUGAUUUCUGCUAUGUUUGGUCCAUCAUUGUUGAUAAACAUGUUCGAAUUCAUAGAGGUUUAUAAUUCUUAACUGAUCUUUCCUACUGAAAAUAAGAGAAAUUUUCAAUUUUCUUAAAAGUAGUUGUUUGAUAAAUUUUAUAUAAACUAUUGAAUUAAAAUAAUUCAAUAAUUAACAGACUUUUUUAUUAUUAAUAAUAAUUUUAUGAAUUUAUUUAUCUAUAUUGCACUUGUCAACGAGUCUGCUUUUUAAUUUGAAUUUAUCAAUUCUAUUUAUCAUCUUAAUGAAUGAUAUUUGUAUUUUUAAUAUUUAUUUCAAAAUUUCAUUUUAGUUAUUUCAAUCUUAGAAAAAUAAUUGCUAAUAUAUUCAAAAUAUUAAAUACAUACUCAUAUUUACUUAAACUAUUAAUUCAAAUUUGAAAAUUCAUAUUUUUCCAAAACACUACAGUACUAAAAAAAUAAAUAAUUGUAACAUGUGAUCUUGUUAGCAAUCACAUCAAAAUUUAAUUUAAUAUAUUAUUUCAUGAUAUACAAUUAACUUAAUAUUAAGAAUUGUAUAUCAUUAAUUAGAAAUUGUAAACUAAAUUGACAACUUUAUUGUAUUAAAAAAAAUCUUUCACAAAUAUAUAUAUAUAUAUAUAAUUUAGAAGUUUUUAAAAUUACAUGAACUAUGAACUAAAUAAGAAUGUUGUGAAAAAUGUAUUUUAUAGAUAGAUAAUAUGAAAAAAAAUUAAUCUUGUUUUAUUUAAGAAAAUCAUAUAUAGAAUUGAAGAAUUAAAACUAAAUUUUGUUUUGAAAAAAAAAAAAAACAAACUUACCUUAAAUCAUGUUUUGAUAUAUUAAAAAUAUAUAUGAAAUAUUUUAAAUAAGUUGGAAUAAAAAUAUGUUGUACAAUAAAUUUAAAAUAUUUAGUACUUUUUAAACAUUGUUAAAGUUAAAAAUAUUUUUUUGUUUUAAAAAAAUUGAAAUUAUGUCUGUGAAGUAGCAUUUAGGAUUGAUACAAUUAUAAAUAAAAGGGGUAUCAUUUAAACAAUAUUUAUAAAGUGAUAAAUAAGUAAAAUUUAUACAUGAUUAGAAAAUAAAAAUGUAGGAAAAGUUAUCAUCUAUGAGAAGCUUUGCCAUAGAGUGGUCUUCUUCUGGUCGUCCUUGUGGUUAUUGUUCGUUUGGAAUGGUAGGAAGGGGUGGAGGUGAAAUGUCAUUGCCAAUGUCUUCGACUUUAUUGUCUUCUUUUUCUCUGAUUUUUGGACACCUGUGAAGGCAUUGUUGGUCGAUAAUACUGCAUGAAUGACAUUUGAUUAUAGGAAGAUGAUGGGGAGGUCCUGGUAGAGGUUGCAAAUGGAUUUGAUGGACCAGCAAUAAAUUUUUGUUGAGAUGGAAAUGUUGAGUAGUUGAAAGGUGGUUGAUGGAAUGACAAGUGAGGUUGAUACACAUAUUCAAACAAUUGAGUUGGGUGGACGAAAAGAUUGUUGUUGAAACAAUUCAACUUGAGAAGAAGACCUGACAUGAUGUUGAUAGUGAGGUUGUGUAGUCCCAUGUGGCAUAUCAUACUAUUUUGAAAAUAUGUGUUAAUUUCGGAUGAGUCAAUGAAAAAUAAUAAAUGAUUUUGUAAUUGAACUUACAUCGUCAUCAGACAAUGACUGUAUAGGUGAGAUGUAGCGGAUAGUAGAGUUGAUGUAACAUUGCAUGUAUGUUGAAUUGCCAUGCAAAUGGUCAUUUUCCUUAAACUGAUUUUCUUGAAUUAGAGGGUUAUGAAAGUCAUUCCACAUAGCUAUUCAUGCGGCAUGAUAUUGUGGCUAGUAUCGACCAGUCUGUCCUCUCAUAUCCUCUAUGUGAAGUUGAUCAAGGUUUGAUUGGUCCCUUGGAAUACUCUGUUAAAAUCCAAACUAAUGCAUAACCCUAUCAACCUAAUGAAAUUCAACCGUUGUGAAACAUAUGAGAGGAACUAACGCUCGUGUAAUUGGGGAAACCCCAAUAUUGAUCAACCGCCUAACAUAAUCCACUUGAUAUGGAGUCCAAAGAAAAAGUAAAUAAAUGUUCAAAACAUCAGUAAUAUGAAAUUUUCAGUUAAAAUGGUAUGUAAGUUUAGAUAUUGUUUACAACCUCUCUAGCUUUAAUGCCAUCAAACAUGGCCCAUAUUUGGGGAACAAUGGUUCCUCCUGUAUGUGUUCUAUGUAUCCUCCGAGUCCACCCAACGUAAACAAAGGAAUAUAAAGAAAUUUACAACUAAGAUAACUUGAAUUUAAAUUUGUUUUCUUGUCUCAAAAAUUAAUACAAAAAAUAACAUGUCUUUUCCCGAGAGGGAAGCCAACGCCUUGUUCAACUUUUUUAAUAAGUCAAUGUUUGAAGUUGUGAAGAAAUUCAAGUUAGGCGUUCCAUGCCCAACAAUGUAAAAGCAGCGUGCAACCUCCAAUGUUAUCAUGAUUAAAGUUUAUUCCGUGAUCAAGCGCACGAUACAGAGAAGCCAAUACAACUGACCCCAACUAUAAUUCCUGAUGUUGUUCAAGUCAACCAACAAUAAUAGGUACAUUAAAUGUACCUUACUACCUGAAGUAUUUGUUGAUCAAGGAUGAUCUUGAAGCUUUGAUGUCUCCAAAUCCAUGGUGUUUGAUGGAAGGCUGGAGUUGCUGCUUGUGUGGGUGGAUUUUGGGUAGAAGGAUGUGUAAUCCACUCUUUGUUUGAAUCUAAAACAGUUUGUGUUGAACCAAGUGGUGUUCAUGUUUUGAAGAAUCCAAAUCCUUUGAAGGAUGUUGAAGCCUCUGCUAUGCUUGAUGUUGCUGUGUUGGUUUAAGCUUUGUUCUGGGGUAGUUUAUAUGUUGUAAUCCACCCUGUGAUUAAAUCUAAAGCAUUAGCAUUCUCAAUCUUUGCGAAAGUAAAAUGUUUUCAAACUAAGUUAAAACAACCGAUUUUUUUGUCGAAACAACCGAUUGUUUAUACUUAGGUGUUUUGAGAAAAAGAUUGAAAACUGUUUUGAAUGGUUGAACUGUUAAGUACCAAAACAACCGAUUGAUUCGAGGAAACAACCGAUUGUUUGUUUUGGGACCAUAACAGAAAAAUUGUUUUCUCUUUGACUGAGCUUUAAAUGUUUUAACUGCUUACGCUCCAGUCAUUAAAUGCUUUGACCAAUCUUUUAAUGCAAAUUAAGAGUUUGUUAAGAUUUGAUAACAAACUACAUCUUUGAAUAAAUUCAGAAAAACAGUUUUUGACAAUUAAGAAUCUUUGACAAAAGUUUUUCAAGAGAGUUUUUCAAAGUGCUGAGAUUGCUAAGAGUUUGUGAUUGAUCAAAGUGUUGGAAUAGGAUUCUGCUUGUAUUGAUUUCAGAUUAUCUUCUGUAACAAGUGUAAUCCUUGUACUCUGUUGAACAAUUCGUUUUCUGUGUUUGUUGAGAUUGGCUGUGUGUUCUUGAGGUGUUCAAGAUCGGCAAUCUUAGUGUUGGCCAAGGAGAGUGUGUUUCUUGAGGUGUUCAAGGUCAUUCUCUUGGUUGUAGUGUAAGUGAUCAAGUGGUGAUUGCUUAGUGGAUAUCCUCAGGGUUUCUGAGAAGACUGGAUGUAGCUCUGGUUUGGAGUGAACCAGUAUAAACAACUGUGUACAAUCUCUUUAUCUCUAACUCUUUAAAUUCAGUUUAUUUGUUGUUUGCUGGUGUAAACAACCGAUUGUUUCUACGAAACAACCGAUUGUUUUUCUGGUACUAUAGUUUUUGCUUGCUUUUUGGCUAACUGAAUUGCUGAAUCAAUUGGUUCCUGAGAUAAAUUAAUUCUAGUUUUGAAAAGUUUGCGAAAACCCUCUUUAAACAAUUCACCCCCCUCUAGUUUAAAGCCAUCUUUUCUAACAGUUUGGAAUAAAAAUCUUUUUGAAAAAGAUUGUUUUAUAAAGAAGUGAAAAAACAACAAGUUGUUUUAUCGUUUCAAUCAAUUGUUUGACAUUUAGUGCUUUUUAAAAAGGAUUUGAAACUGUUUGACUUGGUUGACUUUGAUGUCAAACCAAUUCAAUCAGUUGUUUCGUGAAUUCAACCGAUUGUUUGUUGAAAAUCCAUAACAGAAUUUUUGUUAUGUUUGCAAAUCAACUUUAAAUAUUUUCUAAGUUAAUAAGCUCCUGCUUUAAAUGUUUUUAACAUCUUUUGGAGUAUUUAAAAGAGGUUGUUAUACUCUCUUAAAGAUUAAUACAAUUUUGAGACAUUUUGUGAAAGUGUGAAAACAAAUUUGAGUUUUCAAGAUUUGCAUUCAAGCUUUUGGGUUUUCUCAAAGAAGUGGAAUAGGAUUGCUGUAAUCUUUUGAUUUGAUCCUCAUCAGGUGUAAUCCUUUCUAUAUCUCUUGUAUUUCUAAAUACUGGUGUGUAAGUGCAGAAUCAGAGGGUGUUCUGAUUUUUUUGGUGUUUGUGUGCCAAAGGAAGUGUGUGACUUGAGGUGUUCAAGGUCACUUCUUUGGUGGUGUGUUUGUAAUCUGGAUUUUGAUUGCAUAGUAGAUACCCAAUGGUUUUUGGGGACUGGAUGUAGCUCUUGGGAUAAGAGUGAACCAGUAUAAAUUCCUUGUGUGUUUUUCUCUUACCUUAAACUCAUUUAAGUUAUGCUUUUAAGUUGUUUUUAAUUCUGCUGAUAUAAACAACCGGUUGAUUUUCUGAUAAUCAACUUAAACAAUUUUAAUUGAUUGCUUUAUGGAUUUCUAUAUCUGUGAUUCUGCUUUGAACUUCAUUAUACCUUCAAAGUUUGCGAAAAUCUUUCAUAAACAAUUCACCCCCCCUCUUGUUUAAGGCCAUAUAUUUUAACAGUAUCAGGCAUCAAUAGGCUUCCAAUAAGUGUUAAUAUGUGGGCUCAAACAUGUGGAACAAAAACAUCGUUGGUUGCAUGAUAUGGCGGUUCUUGAAAAUUUUUGUUAAGACAAUAUAAUUUAAUUGCAUUUCCUUUCACCAUUGUAGUGGGUGGUAUAAAUCCCAGCAACUACUCACAUAAAUUACCACUAGUAAUCCCAGUGACAGCCUCUCCAUCAACAGGUAGACCCAAUAUCAAAUCCACAUCUUCCAAUGUAACAGUUGUAUGAGUCUUUGUUCUCCUCUUUUCCACUAAUGUUGUAAGAAGUAGGUCUUUGAUGUCAAUGUUCUUAAACUUUAACAGAUCUCCAAAACCGAUGUGAUCAACUAAGUCUUUGACUCGCUAGUCAAGUAUCUCCUCAUGUUUUAGUACCCAAAUUGCUUGUCUUUUGGGUCUCAAUAUUCUUUCAUUACCUUCCCAUAGAUCUUUAGUAACAUGUUUCUUUUGAAGCCACAAUAGAAACAUAUCCACGAGAAGGCGAUGAGAUGCCAUAAAAUUCUAAUAAGAUAAAUCUUGAAAAUUAUAUUCAAAAUAUUAAUUAUGCUUAUGCAACCAUAUUUAUUGUUAAUAUCAUAUAAUAAAAACUUCUCUAGCGUGAAGGACCCUGUUAAUGAUAUUCAUAAGACCGUAAAAAAAUCAUAUGUAAUAAUAUAAUAUAAAAAUAUUCAUAAAACCACAAAAAAUAUCUUUUAUAUCUAAAUUAUAUAAAAUAAUGGAAAGGUUUGAUGUAUUUCAACAUCAUAAAUACUAUUUCUUAUUCACGUUUUUUUUUGUAUAAAAUAAACAUAUAAAAUGCCUAUUAAAAUAUUUUGAUGCAAAAACACAUUAUGGUCAAUUUUGCUAACUUACUCCAUGCAAAAAUCAUUCACCGACAACCAUUACUUUAAACUGACGCAAAAAAUUAAAUGAUGAUAUCAUACCAAAUACACAAAAAAGGAAAUGACCUCUAAAAUGCGUCAAGACCACAAUAUUAGAAUGGAUGGCUUUAAACUAGAGGGGGUGAAUUGUUUAAAGAGGAUUUUCGCAAAAUUUUAAAACAAGAAUGAAAUUAUCACAAGAAACAAUUGAUAAGAAAUUCAGUUUGCCAAAACAGCAAUAAAAAACAGUAGUACCAGAAAAACAAUCGGUUGUUUAUACCAGCAAACAACAAACAAAACUGAAUUUAAAGAGUUAAGGAUAGAGAGAUUGCACACAGAUGUUUAUACUGGUUCACUCCAAACCCAGAGCUACAUCCAGUCUUCUCAGAAACCCUGAGGAAAUCCACUAAGCAAUCUCACUUUGAUCACUUACACCACAACCAAGAAAGUGACCUUGAACACCUCAAGACACACACUCUUCUGGGCCAACACACCAAUACUAAUAUUGCUGAUCUUGAUCCCCUCAAGAACACACAUCCAAUCUCAGCAAACACAGAAACGAAACUUGUUUCACAAAGUACAAGGAUUACACUUGUUACAGAAGAUAAUCUGAAAUCAAUACAAGCAGAAUCCUAUUCCACAAACUUUGAUCAAUCACAAACUUUCAGCAAUCUCAGCUCUUUGAAAAACUCAAAAACUCUUAGCAAAAACUUGUCAAAGAUUAAUUCUCAAAUCUGUCUUUCUGAAUUUAUUCAAAGAUGUAGUUUGUUAUCAAAUCUUAACAAACUCUUAAAUUGCAUUAAAAGAUUGGUCAAAGCAUUUAAUGACUGGAGCGUAAGCAGUUAAAUCAUUUAAAGCUCAGUCAAAGAGAAAACAGUUUUUCUGUUAUGGUCCCAAAACAAACAAUCGGUUGUUUCCUCGAAUCAAUCAGUUGUUUUGAUUUUAACAGCUUAACCAUUUGAAAAACAAUUUUCAAAUCUUUUCUCAAAACAUCUAAGUAUAAACAAUCGGUUGUUUCGACAAAACAAUCGGUUGUUUUAACUUAGUUUGAAAACAUUUUACUUUCACAAAGAUUGAGAAUGCCUAUGCUUUAGAUUCGAUCAAUGGGUGGAUUACAACACUCAAACUACCCCAGAUCUAGACUAAACCAGCACAGCAACAACAAGCACAACCAAGGCUUCAACAUCCUUCAAAGGGUUUGGAUUCUUCAAAGCUUGAACACCACUUGGUUCAACACACAACACCACAACUGAAGAUUUCAACUUCAACCAGAUGAGGUAUGUUAACUUGGCACAACUAGUAAUUGCAAGUUGAAGGUAAAUUGGAGUUGGUAUGUUUCUUACAACUAUGAACUUUAAAGAAGAUGGAACUUGGCACAGCUAAGAACUUCAGAAUUUUUGGGCACACCUAAUGAGAGAUUUCAGCAUGAUCACAAUGUUUAGGUAGAUGCCUAUUUAAAUAGAAAUUGUGAACAAAUUGUAACCACAUUUGAAUGGAUGGAAUCUCAUUAUAUCCACCCUUAAUGCUCAAGUUGCAACCUCCACCCGCACCAAUGAAUGUUAAGUUUGAACUCAAACUUAGUGUACCAAGAAAUUGUUGUACCCAUCUCAGCAAAGCAAGAUAUUAUUGUAGCCAUGUGAGGAAAGAAACGAGGUGGUGCAUGCGUUCUCACAUAAGUCGCCAACGGUGUGAGAAACUUCUUCAUUUCGUGCCCUCAAAAAUCGCCAAACGUGAAGGCAACUUCUUCAAUUGUGCCAUGCAAAAUCGCCAAUGUAGAAGGCAACUUAUGUGUUAUGAAAUUGAGAAAAAACAAGUGGUGUGAGUUCAAUGAAACACAGUGUACGUGUACGUGAUUAUUUUUUGUUUGUAGAUUAACUAAGAGAUUGGACUUGUCAUAAUGAAUCAAAAUUCAAAUAAUUAUGUUAGAUUGUAUUGGAGUGAGACACAAUUUUUGUUAUAUAAUAAGAGAGUAAUGGAAUGGAUUUGUGCCUUGUACCCAUAAUUUGUUUUAGUUCAUAUCUCUGAAUUGUUGUAUCCACUUUAAAAAAACUGGGGAGAAGGUUUGUGGGACACAAUAUUUUCUCCGACUAAAGUUCAAACAAAAUCAUAAAGGUGAUGUAAAAUUUCCAUAACAUUCUUGUCUAUCAUCUUAUUUCCUCUUAUUUAGGAAAGACAUAUAUAUAUAUAUAUAUAAGGUAAUGUUAUUUUUUAAAAACACAAAUGGACACGUGGAUGUCGGUGGAACAUCAGUAAGCAAACAUGAAGAAACAAGAAUUAGAGACAUCGUGGAUGACAUAAGUGAAGAUAGAGACAACUACGACUUCAGUUUGGAUGAUGAAGAUUAGUUCAAGAAAUCUUCUUCACUAUAUAUUUUGUCUGGCAAUCAAUCCAAACAUAACAGUGAUUGUGACAUCCAUGAACACAUGUUUUCCAUGUCAAAGGAGGCGACAUUGAGUGCCAUAAAACAAUACCACAUAGACAACAGUUACAAAUUUGUUGUCGUGGAAUCAAAGCCAAAUAUGUGGUUCGGUGCAUACAUCAUGAUGGAGGGUUCCAAUGGAGAAUACAUGCAUCUUUUAGUAAAUUUCCAAGACAAUGGGAGAUAAAGAAUAUUGAUGCACAACAUACUUGUUUGUCAACAAAUCUUUCAGUAGGCCAUGCUAAUUUGGACUCAACCCAUAUUGCGUCCAUGGUGACUUCAGUAAAAGUAAAUCCUUCCAUCCCAAUUAAAAGCUUAAUUGUAUAAAUAAAAAAUCUUCAUGGCUAUAAUAUCACAUAUAGAAAAGCAUGGUUGGAAAAACAGAAAGCUCUUGCUAUAGCAUUUGGCAAUUGGGAACAGUCCUACAAUUAUCUUCUUAGAGAUGGUUUGAAGCAGUAAAACAAAGUAAUAUGGGAACAAUUUUGCAAUAUAUUGUUUCUCCUUGUAUGGUUGAUGGUGUUCAAGAGAAAUCUUGAUACACGUUGGAUCGUGUGUUUUGAUCUUUCAAACCUUGUAUUGACGGUUUCACUUUUUGCAAACCCAUUGUACAAGUUGAUGGGACAUUUCUAACCAGAAGAUAUCAUGCAACAUUGUUUACCGCAAUCGCUCAACAAUAAUCAUAACAUAUUUGCAUUAGUGUUUGCGAUUGUUGAAGGCGAGAGUUGAGAGGCUUUGAUCUGGUUCUUCCAGUUAUUGCGACAAUAUGUGACACCUCAACCGAAUUUGUACAUGAUUACUAAUAAAAAGAACUGACAUAAUUUCAUCAUUACAAUCCAAAGAAUUUGGAUGGGAAGGAAACAACCUCAUUUUCGUGUAUACACCAUAUCGAAGCGAACUUCAAAAAAAAAAUUAAAAAUACCGAGCUCAAAUGACAGUUGGUUAACAUGGGUAAUAACAUUGUUUACCUUCCCUCGUACAUAAUUACGACCUUUUACCAUUUAACUAAUUUCACUUACUUCUUUAUUACAGCUUAUGAGAUGAAAUAACCCACUGUACAUGGUAAGCUAUCAGCUAUGUGAUCUGAGUUCAAGCAAACAGUUUCCUAGAUAGAUUGCAUACCAUUAGAGAAAUGGACUUGGGCAUACGAUGGGGGAAAGAGGUAUGGCCAUAUGACCAUAAAUCUAGUGGAAUGCAUUAACUCUAUGCUUAAGGGAGCUUAUCCCUUGUCGAUUUCCACUUUGGUUAAGGCAACUUUCAAAAAAAUAAAAAAUGGUUUGUGGAAUGAGGCUUCAACAUAAACAUCAUGCUAUGCAUAGGUCAUUAUUAUCCAGAAGAUAUCAUCACAACCUUACUCAUAAAAGACCAACAAGAUUCAGCUAUGUGUUUUGUGGAAAGGUUUAAUGGAGAUAAUUCUAAAUUUGAUGUCCAACAGUUAGCCACCCUCCCAUCAUGAUCGAUGACCUCAAUCAUAUUCAAUUAAAUUAAAUAAUUGGUGGUGUGAUUGUGGCCACUUCCAAGCUCUUCGACUUCAUUUUCGUCACAUUAUUGCCAUUUGUUCCUCUUGUCAUUUACAAAUGACGACAUUCGUUGAUCCAGUUUACAGCCUCCACACGGUUAAAAGGGCAUAUCAAGUUGAAUUUCAUUAUGUUCGAAACGAGGAUUAUUGGCUACUUAUACCAAAUGUCAUAUUUGACCCUCACAUGUGACGCAAAGAGUCAAUUGUUGAACAAGAUGCUUUGAUGUCUUCAAAUCCAAGAGGAAAGCUUGAAGACCUUGUUGUUGGGUGUGUGUGUGUUGUCUAGUUGUUUGAAACUUGUUAAUUCACUCCUUAAGAUGAUCCAAGUUCAUUUGAAUCUUUAACCUUUUGAAAAGAUGUGUUUUCUAAAAAGCUGUCAAAAUUUCAAUAGGUUGUUUUACCUUAGUAGUUUUUGAAAAGGUUUUGAAAAACUUGGUUGACUCUGCUGUCAAACCAAAACAAUCGAUUGUUUCGACAAAACAACCGAUUGUUUUCCUGAAAACCUCAACAGAAUUUUGUUAAGCGGUUUUAAUAUGUUUUAAAUGAUCCUAACUAACUUGGCUCCUUUAUUAAAUGCUUUUGACCACUUGGUGGGUCUAUAUAAAUGUGGUUUUACGCUCCUAAUCUUAAAGUAACAGAAAAAGUUUAUCAAAACAGUUUUUCCAUGAUUUGAAAAAGCUUUGGAUCAUUCUUAAGUGUGUGGAAUAGGAUUGGGUUGUAAUUCUGAACUUUAAGCUUUGUAAUACCUAGGUGUAUUCUAUUCCCUUCUUCCUUGAUUACUGUAUUUCUGUAUUUGUGUUGCCAAGGAGUGUUGUGUGUUCUUGAGGGGUUCAAGAUCAACAUUCUUGGUGUGGUUUGCCAAAGGUAGUGUGUUUCUUGAGGGGUUCAAGGUCACUACUUUGGUGUGUGAUGUGUGUAAUCUGGUUUUGAUUGCAUAGUGGAUUACCCAGUGGUUACUAGGGACUGAAUGUAGCUUUUGGUGUAAGAGUGAACCAGUAUAAAUCUAUUUGUGUGAUUUUCUCUUUCCCUGAUCUCACAUAUAUCUAUUUUAAGUUGUUUUUAUUAACUGCUGAUAAAAACAACCGAUUGUUUCGACAAAACAACCGAUUGUUUUUCUGAUAUCAUCUUAAAACAGUUUUGGGUAUUUGUUUCCUUGAUUCUUUUCUCUGUAAUUCAGCAUUGAUUUUCAUUAUACCUUCAAAGUUUGCGAAAAUCCCUCUUAAACAAUUCACCUCCCUCCCCUCUCGUUUAAGACCAUAUAUCCUAACAUCAAUGACAAGUUACAACUUGUUUGCAUAAUGAAAUGGAUCAACCAAUUCAGAACACGCCAAAAAAAUGUUCUUAUUGUCGCAAUGAAGGUCACAACAGAGGAAACUUUCCAUUUAGAUAGUGGAAUAAUCAUUUGUAAUGUUUUUUUCAUCAAAUAUUUUAAUAUCGUCUUCUUUUAAUGACUUAUAUUCAAUAAUUUAAUUUUUUUAAUACAUUUAUUUUAGCAUAAAUAUAUGUAUACUAUUACUUUUUAUGACCAUAAUUCAAAUUUUUGUCACUUGUGUUCUGUGGACAUUGUAAUUUCAAUUAUUCUUAUAUUUUGGAAUAAAAGUAAAUAACAAGAAACACAAAAAGAAAUAAGAAAUAUUAAAGUAAAAAUAUAUUUUUGUUUGGAAAUAUUUUUAAUUUUGAAUACAUAGGAAUAAACAGAUUGAAAAAUAUCUCCAUACUUAUUUUUCUUUUAAUAAUUUUUUCUCAUCUUCUUACUGUUUUUUAAUGAGUGGAAAAGAAAAAAAAUGGUUUUUUUUUCAUGUUAUUUCAAAUCAUAUUUUAUGUAUUCAGAAAAUAUGUUUUUAUUCAAAAGUUUCUAUUUGAAAAUCAUAUUAUAAAAAUUUUAGAUACUAUUGAACACUAAACACUACUAGAAAAAGUAAAUUUUGCUGAAAAAAAAAAAGAGUAAAGGUGAUAGGUGGACACUAAAUAGUGUCAAAUAAGCCUUCACUAUUAAAAAAAUUAAAAUAAAAUGUGAGAAAGUGUGGGUUAUACUCACGCAAACUUAAAAAAAAAUUAAAAAAAAGGUUGCGUUGGUGAAACGGCCAUUACUAAAAGCAUAAAAAUAAUAAAAAUUUAAAAGUUUGAAGGUUUAACCCACGCUAAACAUUUUAAAAUUAAAUUUAAAUAAAUAAUGAAACACUGAAGGUGAAGCCCACACAAAUAAUUAAUUUUUAUUUAUUUGAAAACUUCUUAAUUGUUAAGGUAUCAAAUCAUUUUGAGAAAAUAUUAAACCCUUUUCAGAGCGAGCUUAGCAUUUCCAGGUUUCAAAUCAUUUUGAUAAAAUAUUAAUGCAUUUUCGAGUCACCGUUCAUACAGGGAAUAGUCAACGUUCAUAACGCUUGAGCAUGAGCAGCAGUGCGUGCCACCGUAAUGGAAUAGUGCAUGUCACCGCAAAAAAAAAGUGAAGGUGAUGGUGGACACUAAAUAGUAUCAAAUAAUCUUUCACUAUUAAAAAAACUUCAAAUAAAAUGUGAGAAAGUGUGGGUUAUGCUCACGCAAACUUAAAAAAAAUACAAAAAAGGAUUGCGUUGGUUAAACGACCACUACUAAAAGCAUAAAUAUAAUAAAAAUUUAAAAGUUUGAAGGUAUAGCCCACGCUAAACAUUUUAAAAUUAAAUUUAAAUAAAUAAUGAAACUCUAAAGGUGAAGUACACGUAAAUAAUUAAUUUUUAUUUAUUUGAAAACUUCUUAAUUGUUAAGAUUUCGAAUCAUUUUGAGAAAAUAUUAAUGCAUUUUCGUGUCACCGUUCAUACAGGAAGUAGUCAACGUUCAUACAGGAAGUAGUCACCAUUCAUAGAACUUGAGCUUGAGCAGCAGUGCAUGCCACAAUGAAGGAGUAGUGUGUGCCACCACAAAAAAAAAGGUGAAGGUGGUAGGUGGACACUAAAUAGUAUCAAAUAAGCUUUUACUAUUAAAAAAAUUCAAAUAAAAUGUGAGAAAGCGUGGGUUAUACUCAAGCAAACUUAAAAAUAAAAAUAAAAAAGGUUGCGUUGGUGAAACGACCAUUAUUAAAAGCAUAAAAAUAAUAAAAAUUUAAAAGUUUGAAGGUUUAGCCUACGCUAAAAAUUUUAAAAUUAAAUUUAAAUAAAUAAUGAAACUAUGAAGGUGAAGCCCACGCAAAUAAUUAAUUUUUAUUUAUUUGAAAACUUCUUAAUUGUUAACGUUUCGAAUCAUUUUGAGAAAAUAUUAAUGCAUUUUUGAGUCACUGUUCAUACAGGGAAUAUUCACCAUUCUUAGCGCUUGAGCUUGAGCAGUAGUGCGUGCCACCGUGAUGGAGUAGUGGGUGUCAUCGCAAAAAAAAAGUGAAGGUGGUAGAUGGACACUAAAUAGUGUCAAAUAAGCCUUCACUAUUAAAAAAAUUCAAAUAAAAUGUGAGAAAGCGUGUGUUAUACUAACACAAACUUAGAAAAAUAAUAAAAAAAAGAGUUGCGUUGGUGAAACAACCACUUUUAAAAGCAUAAAAAUAAUAAAAAUUUAAAAGUUUGAAGGUUUAGCCCACAACAUUUUAAAAUUAAAUUUAAAUAAAUAAUGAAACUCUGAAGGUGAAGUACACACAAAUAAUUAAUUUUUAUUUAUUUGAAAACUUCUUAAUUGUUAAGGUUUCGAAUCAUUUUGAGAAAAUAUUCAACCCUUUUCAGAGCGAGCUUAGCAUUUCCAAGUUUCAAAUCAUUUUGAGAAAAUCUUAAUGCAUUUUCGAGUCACCAUUCAUACAGGGAGUAGUCAUUGUUCAUAGUGUUUGAGCUUGAGCAGCAGUGUGUGCCACCGUGAUGGAGUAGUCGUGCCACCGUGAGAACGCAAAUGGGAGUUCCGCAUUUCCUUCCGUUUUCAAUCUUUGCGAGUCUUUGUGGGUUUUCCCCUAGGUUUUCAUCUCGAUUCCUUUCUUUUUGUGUUGUGUAAUUUUAUUUUUGAUUCCUACUCUCGGUUUUUCCCUAACAUCAUGUUAUUGAUUUUUAGUGGUUUGAAGGUAACACCUUAUUUCCUUCUCAGUGGUAUAAGCCAAUUUCGUGGAGAGGUAAAUCCUUUAUAAGAUACUUUUUCUCUUUUGAGACAAUGAGAUAUUAGAGAAUUUGUUUCACCAUAAUUUUAAUUUGUUUCUACCUCUGUGUGUUUUGUAACUGUUCAUUGCUUGUAUAUGUUGGUAGCAUUUUGGAAGGGACAAUAUCUCCAAUUCUUGUUAUGUUUAUCCUUGAAUAUUGGGAAUUAUUUCAAACUUUUAGUUCCCCUGUCCAUUGGGUUUUGUAUUCACCCUGGGUCGUUCAGUACUGCUUGCUAGUCGAGUGAGUUAGUCUCUUGUUUGUUGUCUUUAGUUUUGUCACUCUCCUAGCCCUCUCAUACUCAAAAUCCAGUUACUUCUCAACAUUUAAGUCAAACCAUGGUUCUGUACACUACCUCCCAUUAACUUAUGGACACUGUUCUUUGUUUAUUCUUACUUAGUCACUUGUUUUAAUCAUCUCUGCAAAAUAUAUUCUAAACUCCUUUCACUCAAAUUAAGAAUAAUAAUUGUAUAUGGAAAAUGUGUUCAUUCUCUUGGCCAGUCAAAUGUAAAAGUUAAUUAGCAUUGAGAAAUAAUAGUAAGUUCAAAAGCAUGUACUUACAACUUCAAGAAAAUCAAAGUUUCACAAGUAAUAACAAUAACUAAUAAAGUAGUAUCACAUAUUAAGCUGGCAAUGGUUCAUUAAAUAUGAUUUUAGGAUAAUGAUUAUAUUAAAUUAACAUACUUAUAUAUAUAUAUAAAUAUUAAUUAAAAUAUUCUUUCAAAAUUAAAGAAGACAAAUGUAUUGACAAUUUGAUUGUUUUAAAACUAUUUUAUUUGUGAGUUUUGAGUUUUGAAAAUAAGAAGGGUGUUGUGUUUGGUUAUGUGGGAAUCUUAAUCUGCCAUGAAGAUUGAAAGUUGUGGAUGAAAAGGUGAAUAGAGCAGGGCGUGGAGCCCCCAACCCCACUUGAUUUCUACGAAAUCUAUUUUAUGUGAGAUUCUGAUUUGGCGAUGUUGUUGUAAGCUUUUGCAAAAUACGAAUAAUAGUGAGGGCAAAGAGGAAGAACAUUAAGAAGAUGAGUAAUUGGGGUGAAAUGUUUAAGCAAAAGUGGGAAAAAGUGAAAGAAGGAGUUGAAAAAGAGUUGAUCUUAUCUACUUAUCUGGUAAAUUCUGAUAAACAUGUUGUGUGAGAGUAUGAGGGAAUCUGACAUGUAGCAUUUGUGGCAACCUGAGUCUUUGCUUUUUGGGUGAUUAACAGAGUUUUGGACCACUUCCACAUACCCAUUUCAACUCUUACAUAAUAAUACAUAUGCUUUUAUUUUGUUUGUUUUUACUCAACAUCAGAUAAUAAUAUCUGUUUUAUUUUGUUUGUUUUUACUCAACAUCAUAUAUAAACUCACAGUUAAAAUGUUUUUUAAACAUGAUAUUUGUAUGAAUUAUUCAAAACUAAUCACCACCACACUUCAAUGCAUUGAACACAAACAAGGUUAGUAUUUAUUUUUCUUAUACAAAUAUUAAUUAUUUAAGAUUAAUCUAUCAACAUUAUAUAAAGGAUACAUAUGUUGCUUACUACAGUGUUAUUGUCAUUGUUGUUAGAAAAGAUGGCUUUAAACUAGAGGGGGGGUGAAUGGUUUAAAGGGGUUUUCGCAAACUUUUCACAGCUAGAAUGAACUUAUUUCAGAAACCAAUUGAUUCAGCAAUUCAGUUAGCCAAAACAGCAAGCAAAACUAUAAUACCAUGAAAAACAAUCGGUUGUUUCUUCGAAACAAUCGGUUGUUUAUACCAGCAAACAACAAACAAAUUGAAAUUAAAGAGUUAAGGAUAGAAAGAUUGUACACAGUUGUUUAUACUGGUUCACUCCAACCCAGAGCUACAUCCAGUCUUCUCAGAAACCCUGAGGAAAUCCACUAAGCAACCACACCUUGAUCACUUACAACAACAACCAAGAGAAUGACCUUGAACACCUCAAGAAACACACUCUCCUUGGCCAACACUAAGAUUGCUGAUCUUGAACACCUCAAGAACACACAGCCAAUCUCAGCAACACAUACAAAACAGAAUUGUUCAGCAGCUUACACAGAUUACACUUGUUACAGAUGAAUAUCUGAAAUCAAUACAAGAGAAUCCUAUUCAGCACUUUGAUCAAUCUCUCAACUCUUUUGCAAUCUCAGAAUAUUUGAAAAACUCUUAUUCUAUGAAAACUUUGUUUCAAGAUUCUUAAUAUAUCAAAACUGUUUUUCAGAAUAUAUCUAAGAAUAUAGUUUGUUAUCAAAUCUUAACAAACUCUUAAUUGCAUUUAAAAUAGAUUGGUCAAAGCAUUUAAUGACUGGAGCUUAUUCAGUUAAAGCAUUUAAAGCUCAGUCAAAGAAAACAAUUUUUCUGUUAUGGUUUUAAAACAAACAAUCGAUUGUUUCCUCGAAUCAAUCGGUUGUUUUGUUACUUAACAAAAACACCAUUCAAAAACAGUUUUCAAACUUUCUCAAAACACCUAAGUGUAAACAAUCGGUUGUUUCGACAAAACAAUCGGUUGUUUCAACUUAGUUUGUAAAACAUUUUGCUUUGUUAAAAUUGAGAUGCUAAUUGCUUUGAGAUUUAAUCUAAGUGUUGAUUACAACAUAGAACUACCCCAGAACAAGACUAAAACAGCACAGUAGCAUCAAGCAAAGCAGAGGCUUCAUCAUCCUUCAAAGGAUUUGGAUUCUUCAAAACAUUGAACACCACUUGGUUCAACAAUCUCCCUCUAUUUGAUGAAGACAAAUCCCUGAUGCUUGUGUUGUUCUUGAUUAAAUCUGACGCAGUUUCUGCAAAAGAACUUUGAGCAAUAUUUUGAACUUUCUGAUAUUCUGUUAGUAUACAGAUAAACAAUUUAAAGCUUAAAACAGUUAAUAUCAGAGCCAAACUUCAUGUUACUCAUGUUUUUAACACUAUGAAAAACAGAAAAUUAACAAACUUCAAACACAACAUAUAUCUCCCCCUAUUUGUCUUCACAAAUAGACAAAGAUAAGAGAUAAAAAGAAACAUUGUUCACAUUACAUCAGAAUAAAACAGCAAUAGCAGAAGGAAAGAAAUUUUAAAAACCAGAAACGAGAACAGACAAAAACAAUCGAUUGUUUCGAUUUUCAAUCGGUUGUUUUUCUUCAAUCUUCUUCAUCAGCAAACUGAAGAUCAAAGAUCUGAUUCUGGACAGCUUCAAUCUGUUCUUCCACUGCCAUAAACCUUGCAUCCAUGUUGUCAAACCUUGUGUCAAUCCUUUGAAAGUUGCUAACACACAGAUCAUGAAGGCUCCUUUGAUUUUCAGCAAAGCUAUCAAGCCUAUUCACCAUGAGUCUUUCAAAAGGUGACAUGGUUUGCAUUCUUUCUCUUUGAUUUCCAUCUUCAGUGCUAGGUCUAGCAUCUUGAAAAACUCCAGUUGGAUCUUCAUGUUGAACAUCCAUAUCAGCAGCUUCAUCUGGUUCAAGAUUGGCAGCACCACUUGAUGAGGCACCAUGAUCACCAUCCUUACUUAACCACUUUCCACCUAUUUUUGUGAAGCCCAUCUUGCUGAGUAAUCCAUUGUUCAACUCUUGAGUUGACUUGACCAACUCAGAAGUUUCAUCUUCAAGAUUAACUUCAAAAUAGAGUAGAAACUUAGAUAUUAAAACAGCAUAGGGAUAAUGGUAAUCACCUAACCUCAUGGCUUUUUUGCAUAUGUUCUUUGAUUAUGUGAAUCCAAUUGAUCUUCACUUUCUUGGUAAUGCAGAAGAUAUAAACCAGAUCUUCUUCAGUCAACACAGAGUGAUUGCUCCCCCUAGGAGUUAGGAUCCACGUUACAAUGUGAGCAAGCAGCCUCUCAUCUAGCUUCAAGCCACCAACCGAACAAGUGCUAACUUGAGUUUGAUUAUUCUUCAAGCAACUUUUGUAGAACUGAAUCUUGUUGAAAUCUUCUACCACACCAAGGUUUCCUUUGUUGAUUCUCAGUCCAGAGAACUUGAGUCCAGCUACAACAGCCCAAACCUCAUGGGUUAUCUCCAUCUCCACGCCUUUUACAUGAGAGACCAAGUUAUUUCCCUCAAACUUCAAGUUGGUGUAGAAAACUCUCACCAAAUCUGGAUAUAUGUUACCUUUGAGCUCCAGAAACUUUCUAAGUGACUGGUCUUUGAGAAACUUCCUCACAUUGUCAAGCUUUUGAUCCUUCAGCCAGUUGAAGUACACAACCUUGGGGUUGUUUAUUUUCUUGACACUUGUUUCAUAUCUAUACUUCUCAAUGAGCUCGGUGUCACCAGAAAACCAGCUUUCAAGCCUUCCUCCAAACCUUACAGCUCUGGUUUUGACUCUUUUAGCAGUGGGAGGAGUUGAUUCCAUGAUAGCAGAGAUGAAAACAGAGAAGAGCAGAAAACCCAGAUUUUUCAAGAGAUAGUGCAAGAGAUGUUGCAAUUGGUUGUUCUUGUUGAAAGAAAUUUGCACCUGAUUUUAUAGUAGUAAGAGAAUCAAAUUGAAUUUAAUUUCAUUCAAUGGGUACCUGAUUUUCAAAGAGAGGACUUGACUCUGUUCUGCACUGAAAAUGUCAGAAAAAGCUGAAAAUCACAUGGUCUUCACAUGUGAUCUUUGACUAGUCAUUAAGGCUUUUGAUUUUCCAAGAUUUUGGAAUAUAUUCCUUUAUGACUGUUGUAAAUCCUUUCUGAACGAGAUCAGCUUUCAACACAGAUCCUUUGGCCAAGAUUCUCCCUUUGAAAAAUAUCUACAACAGCUAGAAAUUCAAAAAUCAGUUAAAUCAAUUUCUACACAGUGCUGUCAAACUCAAAACAAUCGGUUGUUUUUCUGCAGUAGUUAAAAACUUGAUUUUUCAAUUUUGUAAUGCUAAAUUGGUUUGGGAAUAACUUAAUCCCAGAAGCUAGCAUAUAAAACCUAAACAUACAAACACACAAUUAUCCUAGGAAGAGAAUUACAAUAAUAGAAAUAGAAAUGGGAAUUAUGGAAAGGGUUAGUUACCAAUGGGAGAUUGCAAAAAAGGAAUUAAAUUUGGGUAGAUGAUGAGAGGGAUAAGAUGAAACAGAGUGUGGUUUCACAUGAAGAUCAAUAAUUUGUAGCUUGACCAUUUAAAGACGGAAUUAUAGAGAUAUAAGUUGGGGACCCACCCAUGAGAAAAAUAGUGUAUGAGGCAUGAUAUAGCAUCCCUCUCACACCACCUGAGCCUGUAUUUUCUGCUUAUUAACCAUCAAUUACCAUUAUCAUUAUAAUAAUAAAAGUGCUCAAAUUUAAGUUAAUAAUAUAUUAUUACUAUUAAUUAGUAUAAAGUUAUGGCCAGAAUAAAUAUUCGGGUUUUAAUUAUUAUUUGUCAUAUAUGUAUGGUAAAAAGAACUACAUGUAUUAUUAUGUGCUUUCUUUAGUAGAUUUUAAGGGCGUGGUUAGUUUAUGAAUGAAAGUAUGGUAUGUGCACAGUGCAUGGUUAGGAUUCUCCAUUAUCAUCAUGGCUGGUUCUUCAAACCACCAAUUUUGUAUUGGAUGCUGUGGAAAUUUGGCUUAUGCAUUAUUUAUAAAGUAAUUUGCUUCAAGUUACUGUUUAUAAAGUAGCUUUUUCUCUAAACAAAAUUUCUGGGGUAGAGGUUCUCGUUAAUAGAAUCUUAUGCUCGAAGGUUCUAGUAAAGAGACAUAAUAAUAGUUAUUAAAAAAUAAAAAUAGCCUACAAAAUUAAACUCACCCAGAGGUUGACCUAUUCACGGUUUUGGUAUCUUAAAAGUGAAAGAAUUCACGAUUUCUUUCUUUUGUCUAGUGAUAAAUUCAUUCUUGAUCCAACAUGUGUUUCAUAUUUUGGGAAAAAUAUCCUUACUAUCAAGUUCAUUACAAACUGAAUUGUGAUAUGGUAUGAUAGUUUUGUUUUAUAAUUCUUAUAUAUCACUACUCAUAGAGUGAUGUUAUAUUGGCUAAUAAUUUAUUCACUACUAUAUACAUAUAUUCUAUGCAGAAAAAUGGAUCAAAAUUGGAUGUAUGAACGACUUGAUCCUUCAAGGAGACUUAGCAAACAAUUCAUUACUGGAGUGAGUGAAUUUGUUUCAAAGGCAAUGGAUCAAACUUUUUAUACUUUAGAAGGAGGGAUAAGGUGUCCUUGCAUAAAGUGUGUCUGUGAGAAAAUUAUUCCACCAUCACAUGUGAGGGCUCAUUUGCUACGAUAUGGUUUUAAACCUAACUACACAGUUUGGGUUCAACAUGGAGAAGAGAUGUUUGUUGAUCAAGAGCUUUGAAGAAUCCAAAUCCAAGGUGUUUGAUGAAAGGCUGAUGUUGUUGUUGUGUGGGGGUGGGAUCUGGGUAGAUUAAAGUGUGAUCCACUCUUUUGUUGAAUCUAAAACUGAUGUGAAUUGAAACCUUUUUUAAAUUAGAUGUUUUUCCAACUAAGUGAAAAACAACUUGUUAUUUUGUCGAAUCAACUUGUUGUUUUGCUCUUAGGGGUUUUGAAAAAGGUUAAAAGUUGUUUGACUUGGUUGACUUAACUGUCAAACCAAAUCAAUCGGUUGUUUCGUGUUUUCAACCGAUUGUUUCUUUAAAAAUCCUAACAGAAUUCAGUUUUGAAUAGUGAAUCUAUCUUAAAUGAUUUCUAACUUAAUACUCUCCUUCAUUAAAUGUUUUUAACCAAUCUUUGGAAAUAUAAAUAGUUUGUUAUAUGUUUCUGAAAAGUAAGAAACAGUUUUGAGAAAUUCAGUUUGACAAAUUUGAUCUCAAGUUUUCAAGAUUCACAUCAAGCUUUGGAUUUUCAAGUGAGAGUGGAAUAGGAUUGCAAUUGUAUUCUUUUCAGUUGUACUUUGAUCAGGUGUAAUCCUUUUCUCAAUCUUCUAUAUUUCUAUUGUUGUAUUGCCAAGGAGUGUUGUGUGUUCUUGAGGUGUUCAAGAUCAAUACUCUUGGUGUUGUUUGCCAAAGGAAGUGUGUUUCUUGAGGGGUUCAAGGUCACUACUUUGGUGUGUGGUGUUUGUAAUCUAGUUUGAUUGCUUAGUGGAUUACCCAGUGGUUUCUGGGAACUGGAUGUAGCUCUUGUUGUAAGAGUGAACCAGUAUAAACUGCUUGUGUGCAUUUCUCUUUCUCUGAUUUCUUUUAAAUUCUGUUUUUAAGUUGUUUAUAAUUUUACUGGUAUAAACAACUGAUUGAAUCGAAGAAACAACCGAUUGUUUUUCUGUGUUUUUCUUUAAAACAGAUUGUGUUCUUUGCUAACUUUAUUCCUCUUCUGGAUUUCUUCACUGAGUUUCAUUAAACCUUCAAAAGUUUUCGAAAAUAUCUUAUAAACAAUUCACCCCCCCACCCCCCCUCUUGUUUAAGGCCAUAUAUUUUAACAAUGUCAAGUGAGGACAAUGUUGGUUAUGCAUCCAGUAGCCAUGGAAGAAUGAAACUUGUUGAUAACAUUGGUUCAAUGACAUAACAAGUCGUUAUAGUCACAUGAAAAACGACGAUGAAUAUGUAGAAGAGUCAUCUAAUGCAAAAGCCCAAAGGUUUUAUGAUAUGUUAGCAGCUGCAAAUGAACCCAUUUAUGAUGGUGCUACCGAGUCAAAAUUAUCAAUAGCCAUCAGACUACUAGCAGCUAGAACGAAUUGGCAUACACCUGAAAAAUGUUUAGACCAUUUCAUAAAAUUGUUAGUUGAUGUAGCUCCCAAAGAUAAUUUCAUACCAAAGAACUACUACGAAGCUAAAAAAAUUGUGUCAAGUCUUGGAUUGAAAGCCCAAAAAAUUGAUUGUUGUGAAGCUGGAUGCAUGUUAUAUUACAAGGAAGACAACCAUUUAACUGAAUGCAAAUUUUGUCAUCUUCCUCAGUAUUUUCCUCCUAAAGGUAAGAAGGGAAGAUACAAACAAAUUCCAAGGAAGAGAAUGUUUUAUUUGCCAAUCAUCCCAAGAUUACAAAGACUGUAUGCAUCAGUAAAAUCUGCUAAUCAAAUGAGAUGGCAUUUUGAAAACAAAAAAGAAGAUGGCAUACUGUGACAUCCAUGUGAUGGGGAAGCUUGGAAGCACUUUGAUAAGAUAUAUCUGAAUGUUGUUGUUGACCCACGACAUGUGAGACUUGGUUUAUGUUCUGAUGGGUGCACUCCUUAUGUCCAAGCUUCAACAUCCCCAUAUUCUUGUUGGCCUGUAUUUCUUACUCCUUAUAAUUUGCCCCCUGAAGUGUGUAUGACCAAACCAUAUAUGUUUCUAACUUGUCUCAUACCUGAACCAAGUAACCCAACUAAAAAAAUAUAUGUCUACUUGCAACCUCUUAUUGAUGAUCUUAACCAAUUGUGGAAUGAAGGUGUAAUGACAUAUGACAUCUCUACAAGAGAAAACUUUGUCAUGCGAGCUUGCUUGAUGUGGACAAUCAAUGAUUUUUCAGCUUAUGGCAUGUUGUCAGGAUGGGGGACUAAAGGGAAAUUAGCAUGUCCUCGUUGUAUGGAGAACACGAAAGCUUUUACAUUACCACAUGGUGGUAAAAGUAGUUUGUUUGACUGUCAUCGUCGAUUCUUGCCUACUGAUCAUCCAUUUAGGAGAAGCAAAAGGAGAUUUACGAAAAAUAGGACUAAGUCGGAUGGGACUCCUAAUUUCCUAAAUGGAGAGCAAUUGUGGGAAUUUAUUCAAGACUUUCCAAAGGUGAAUGAUGGUCUAUUUGAUACCUUAUUAGGGUAUGAACAAUAUCAUAAUUGGACAAAAAGAUCAAUCUUUUGGGAUCUGCCAUAUUGGAAACACAAUUUGCUAAGACACAAUCUUGAUGUCAUGCAUAUUGGAAAAAAAAAUUGAUAAUGUCUUCAAUAUUGUGAUGGAUGUCAAGGAUAAAACAAAGGACAAUCACAAGGCAAGAAUGGAUGUUGCUGAAUUUUGUGGACAUGGUGACUUGGAAUUGGUUCAGUUACGAAAUGGGAAGUUAGAAAAGCCAAAGGCAAACUACACUUUCACAAAAAAAAAGAUGCAAAAUCAAUUUAUAAAUGGAUUACAAAGUUAAAAAUACCUGAUGGAUAUGCCUCUAACAUUGCCAGGUGUGCAGACAUUGAUAAAGAGAGUAUGCAUAGUAUGAAAAGUCAUGAUUGUCAUGUCUUCAUGAAGUGUUUACUACCAAUUGCAUUUCGUUCAUUACCAGAAAUUGUUUGGAAUGCAAUAGCUGAAAUAAGUCGAUUUUUCAUAUAUUUAUGUUGUAACUCUUUAAGGAUGGAUGAUUUAUAUCGAAUGAAAGGGAAUAUAUCUAUCAUUAUAUGUAAAUUGGAAAGAAUCUUCCCACCAGGUUUCUUUGAUUCAAUGGAACACCUGGUUAUUCAUCUUCCUACUGAGGCAAUACUUGGUGGUUCUGUCCAAUACAGAUGGAUGUAUCCAUUUGAAAGGUAAUCACCCAAUCCUCAGUUUUAUUGUUCAUAAUUAUUGUUCAAUACUUAAAACUUGACAUGUGGUGUAGGUUGAUGAGAGAUGCAAAAUGAUCAGUGGCUAAUUUAGCAAGGGUAGAAGGUUCAAUAUGUGCAUUCUACUUACACCGUGAAAUAACUUAUUUUUGUUCUCAUUAUUUCCAACAUGUAAGCUUGUUGUCAAAUACAAGUUUGAGAAAUGAUCCUCGGACUAGUUCAAAUGAGGGAGUUGAAUCAACAUUGUUCGUUCUCAACAAAUGUGGUCGUCCUAGUGGAUCAUGCAAAGAAUAUUGGCUAAAUGAUGAUGAAUAUCAUUCUGCCCAUGUAUAUAUCCUCAUCAAUUGCAAUGAAGUUAAACCAAUACUUGAGUAUGUUAACAACAACACAAUUUGUAUUGAUUAUGUUUAAAUUGAAGUUUAUGAUUGAUUACUUAUUUAUUUCAAGAUUGUUCUUACAAGUUAACAACAACAACGAAGAGGGAUAUUGAACCUAGUAGUUGUAGCUCUACAAGUCUGUAAUUGGACUGAGAGACAUCACAAUUCAGUUUGAAAAGAUCAUUUUGAGGUAAACUCCAACUUUGUUCCAAGAGACACACUUUAGAAAUAAUAUUGUGAGAGUGUAUUGCUAACACUGCCUUAGAUUCCAAUUUGUUGUUUUGUUUGCAUCUCCAAAUCAUUUAUUAAACUAAAUGCAGGUUUCAAAGGAGAUUAAGUAUGCUGACAAGCAGUCAAUUCUACCUUGGGGACCAAGGUUUGGUGUUGCUUCUUAUGAUUAGUGACAAUGCAGUUUUGUUGUUGUAUAUUGUUAUGGCUACUGUUAGUUUACUUUAAUGGAUGAUUUAAGAUUUAACUUCUCUAGGUUGACAUGUUUCCUAUCUAGUAAUCAAAGUCGGGAUGUCUAUAGGUUGCUUUACCGUAUGGCAGUUAUCUCCCCAUUAUAAAAUGAUCAGAAAGUAUAAGUUUCUGCCAGUUGGAACCUUAUAUAGCUCAACUUUUGUGUCAUCAAGUUACUAUUUUUUAAAGUGUGUUUUAUGUUUUUCUUGGUAUUUUGAAGAGUGUGAAGGUAAGCUUGUCUUGGUAUCUACCAGUUAUGCACCAUUUUAUUGUUCCUCAUUUUUCAUAAAAUAUUUAUAGCUCAACCUUAGUUAAUUAAAGUAACUUUAGUUCAAUUUCAAUCAAAAUAUCUUCAAUCAAAAAUCACCGUUAUCACGUUUCUACCUUUGUAUUUUGGUGCAUGCAAUUGGUUUAACUACUAAGUUCAAAGUGCAAACAAAGCAAAAUGUCUUGCCAAGUUAAUUAGAAUUGGACAAUAUAUGAAAAUACUACUAUCUAUUGGUUGGGGCAACCCACUUAUCCUAAUUAAUAUAUGUUUUUCCUUGAUGGAUCAGUUGCAUGGGGCAGUUGUCUUUUCUAAAAUAGAUCUGCGCUCAGGUUAUCACCAAAUUUCAGUGAAAGCGGAAGAUGUUCAAAAGACUACUUUUAGAUCAAGGUAUGGUCACUAUGAAUUUCUGGUCAUGCCAUUUGGUGUGACCAAUGCUCCAACUAUCUUCAUGGUUUAUAUGAAUCGGAUAUUCUGACCUUUUCUUGAUAAGUUUGUGGUAGUGUUCAUAGAUGAUAUCUUGAUCUAUUCUCGUACAAGGGAAGAACAUGCAGAACAUCUUAGAACUGUCCUGAACAUUUUGAGAGAAAGACAGUUAUAUGCUAAACUUUCAAAAUGUGACUUCUGAAUGUCAGAAAUACAAUUUUUAGGACAUGUCAUCUCUGCACAGGGAAUAUCAGUAGAUCCUUCUAAAGUGGAGGUUGUACUUCAGUGGGAGCGUCCUAAAACAGUUACAGAAAUUAGAAGCUUUGUCGGGUUAGCAGGAUAUUACAGGAGAUUUAUUGAAGGCUUUUCUAAAAUAGUGGCUCCUUUGACCCAAUUUACUAGAAAGGAUCAUCCUUUUGCAUGGACUGAACAAUGUGAGAGAAGCUUUGAAGAGUUGAAAAGAAGGUUGACUAAUGCUCUUGUAUUGACAAUCCCUGAUACCAAUCAAUCUUUUGAAGUUUUCUGUGAUGCUUCCUAUCAGGGAUUGAGUUGUGUUCUGAUGCAAAAUAAGAAAGUUGUUGCCUACGUUUCUCGUCAGUUAAAGGUGCAUGAAAGAAACUAUCCAACUCAUGAUCUAGAAUUGGCAGCAGUUGUCUUUGCUUUAAAAAUAUGGAGACAUUUUCUUUAUGGAGUUAGUUUUGAUGUGUUCAGUGAUCAUAAAAGCUUGAGGUAUUUGUUUGAUCAGAAGGAGCUUAAUAUGAGGCAGAGGAGAUGGAUUUAAUUUUUAAAAGACCAUGAUUUCCAGCUAAUAUAUCAUCCUGGGAAGGCAAAUGUUGUUGCAGAUGGGUUGAGUCGUAAAAAGAUACAAAUGUCGUCACUUAUGAUUAGAGAGCUAGCAUUGAUUGAAGAUUUCAGGAGUAUGAAUUUGGAGGUUUCCAUGUCUUCAAAUUGCACUAGUUGUAAUACACUUGUUAUAACUAAUGAAUUUCUGGAGAAGGUGAAGGAGAAGCAGUUGGAAGAUUCAAAAUUGAAGAACUUCAUGGGCUUAUUUAAUACUGACAAAGCUAAAAACUUCUCUUUAGGAGUGGAUGGUAUUUUGAGAUUCAAAAAUAGAAUAUGCAUACCAGAGGAUAAUGAACUAAAGCAAACAGUGUUAUCUGAAGGUCAUAAAAGCAAACUCAGUUUACAUCCAGGAAUGACCAAGAUGUAUCAAUUCUUAUUGGUGGCAUGGCAUGAAGAAUGAUGUAGCUAAGUUUGUAGCUGCUUGCUUGACUUGUCAGAAAUCAAAGAUUGAACAUCAACGACCUGGAGGUAUGUUAACUCAGUUAGACAUUCCAGUGUGGAAGUGGGAUAGUAUCUCAAUGGAUUUUGUUACCCACUUACCACGUACUUUGAGGAAGCAUGACUCUAUUUGGGUCAUAGUGGAUAGGUUGACAAAGACAGCACACUUCCUACCUAUAGACUUGAGAAUCUCUAUGCGAAAGUUGGCCCAGAUUUACAUAGAUGAAAUAGUCAGAUUGCAUGGUAUACCCUCCAGCAUAGUUUCAGAUAGAGAUCCUAGAUUCACCUCCAGAUUCUGGCAAACACUUCAAGAAGCUUUGGGGACUAAACUUAGACUUAGUUCAGCAUACCAUCCUCAGACUGAUGGACAAUCAGAGAAAACUAUCCAGUCGUUAGAGGAUUUGCUUAGGACUUGUGUGUUAGAUCAUUUAGGCAGUUGGGAUGAAAUUCUACCUUCGGUAGAGUUCACUUACAAUAACAGUUACCAAGCUAGCAUAGGAAUGGCUCCUUUUGAGGCAUUGUAUGGAAGGAAGUGCAGGACACCUUUGUGCUGGUUUCAGGAUGGUGAAAGUGUGUUAAUUGGACCCGAAUUAAUACAACAAACCAAUGAGAAAGUCAAAAUGAUUCAGGAAAGAUUAAAAACAUCUCUCAGCAGGCAAAAAUCUUAUGCAGAUCAAAGAAGAAGACCUUUAGAAUUCUCUGCGGGUGAGCAUGUCUUUUUUAGAGUUACACCGUUCAUUGGUGUAGGAAGAGCACUCAAAUCCAAUAAAUUGACUCCUAAGUUCAUAAGACCUUACCAAAUUCUCCGGAGAAUAGGCCCUGUGGCUUAUGAAAUUGCUUUGCCUCCCUCUUUAGCUAACAUUCACAAUAUUUUCCAUGUAUCCCAACUAAGAAAGUAUGUAUUUGAUCCUAGCCACAUUCUAGAGUCUGAUUCCAUCCAAGUGAAAGAAAAUCUAUCAUUUGAAGUGAAGUCAAUCAGAAUUUUAGAUUCACAAGUGAAACAACUUCGUGGAAGGAGUAUUCCCAUGGUGAAAGUAUUGUGGGAUCUCAUGUCCGGAGAUUCCACUUGGGAAAUUGAAGAGGAGAUACGAGCAUCAUACCCUAACCUCUUUCUUGGUAAGUUCAUUUUCGAGGACGAAAAUUUUUGUAGUUGGAGAUAAUGUAAGAACGUUAAAAAAAAAAGAAUAAAAAAGAAUAAAGGUGCAGAGAAGCCCCUUCUCCCCCACCACAGUUUUUUUUUCUUCUUUCUCUCUCUCUCUAUAUUCUCUUCUCUCCCUCUCUCCUAAUUUUCUCUCCCAAUCUUCAUCUAUUUUAGAAUCUGAUCGUACCAUUUUGUAGCUGAGGAGUUAAGGAACAUUUCUACCCGAUCAGAUUUUCAAACAGAGUAAGUUCAUUUUUUACUCUAAAUAUCCUUUGUUCUCUGUUUUUCCUUAGGAUUUAGUCAUCAAUCUUGGUAGGGUCAGUUGAGAAGUUUAAUCCUCUCAACUUAUUCUACUAUAUACUAAAUUUUUGUUCUGUUUGGAUAACUUGCAUUAGGCCCGUAAAUCUUGAAGCUUAUCCAGACUGUGGGGAAUAAAAUUCUAAAAGUUGCUUGGAAAGCAAGCAAUUGAGGUAAGGGAAGCUAAAUUUAAUUUUUAAUAGCACCCUAGGAUAGGAUAUCUGAAUGCGAAAGGGACGUGGUCCCAAUAUUGAAUUUCUCUUGCAGGGGUAUUAUUUGUUUAUAUAUUAUUUAAACUUUAUAAAUAUUGUUUUUGACGUUGGAAAAUUUUUGAAUGAUAUGUAUUAUAUACGAAUGACGUAAAUUGUAUGAAAUUGAUGUCAUACAUUUGGGAUAAUGUAUGAGUUGUUGUUUGAUGGUACGUUAAGUAUGAAAAGCCUAUGUUUAACGGAGAUCCUCUGGCUUCACUAAUGAUCUAAGUCAUGUAGACUAAGAUAUUAGGUGGUGAGAAGAUGAGAGGGAGUUCAUACACACUGGGUUCCAUUGUAGACACUCGAUAUUGGAUGUUUGAACUUACCCUGAUCCUUUCUAUUGGAUUCGCUGGUAAUCUUUGGGUCAGGUGUUAGUCUCUGGUAGGGGCAUACUUAAUUAGUCUUCCGGAAGAUGAAGUGGGAUUGAAAUGAAAUCCAAUGAUUAUGAUUGAAAAUAGAUCCAUGUGUGGUCUAUAUGAAUGAUGAAAUUGGUAUUGAAAUUUUACAUGAAAUCAUUUAAAGAAAUGUUUAUAAAUUAUUAGUCUAAAUUGGUUCUAUUUCUAUGAAUUAUGUUAUGGAUUUUCUUUGCACUAGCUUACCCUUGAUUUUCGUGUUGUGUUUGAACUGUGAUGACUGUACUAUGUACACAAGCAGAUGACCAUACAGGUGUAGGAGAGCCUUAGAGGUUUCAGAGUUUUAUUUGAGCUAUGGAUAUGUAAAUAUUUGUAUUUCUAUAAAUCCUAAUCAUGUAUUAGGAAUGUUUUGAAAAACUCCAAGUUUGUAUAGAAUCUGGUAGAACUUUUAUUGUAAUAGUUAUAUGUAAAUUAUGGGGUGUUACAAAACUCACGCUACUUUAGAAAUGUGUGGACAUCUCGAAGGCUAAGCCCACUCUAUUUUAAAUGAAAUAUAAUUUUGUGUAGGCGAAACGUCCAUCAAACCCACUAUUUUUUAUAAAUUUGUCAACUCUUUGUAGACUAAGCCCACACUUGACUUACACAAAAAGCACCCGCCAAUAUCUUUACGUCAACUACAUUAGCUUCGAAAUUUCCAUUAACGCUAUGCCCACAAUAAAUAACCUUUUGCGUAGGUUUUUUAUAGUUAGGGUCGGUGUUUGGCCAUUCUAAUCAACAUUUUUUUUUGUAGCGAAAAGAGUUGUUUAUAUUUUCACCAAUGGUUAGAUCAAAAUUUAUUCUAUGUUCUAAGGUUUGUGAAUAAUUUCUCAACCAUCAUUUCAAGAGCACUAAAGGCCGUGAUUAUAAAUGGAGAACUAUGGUAAUAUAUCAUUAAAGAUUUAAAUAUCUCUUUGUGGUCUUUUGAUUUUACUUAUUAUAGAAAAAAAUUGUUUUUAGUUCUUUUAAACUUUAAAAUUGUUAUUUUUUUAUAUCUUUAGUGUUAUAUGACACUGAUUAACUAUUUAUUGAAUGAUAAAAAAACUCAAGUGACUAUUCAAGCGACACACAUGACUUAUUAUAGCUAAUUUGUAUGAGAAAAGUCUUUGAUAUCUUAGAGAUUUGGGAAACAAAUGCACAUAAUUAAUUACCUUGAAUAUAUAGGCUAGAUGUAUAUGAUGCUUUUAAUUUCUGGAUAAUAUAUCUUAGUACACUCCAAGCACCAUUGCAUGAGUAUUCAUGUUACAAUGAUUUCUUUUGCUCAUUUGUGUCAACACAUUUCCUUAUUCAAGUGAGUUUCUUUUAUUUCUAUUCCAUUUUCUUCUAAUUUGGUGGGUUAUAUUUCAAAUUAACUUAUUUGUAAUGUUUAUGGAAUUUUUAAUUUGAGAUGGUGUAUAUAAACUGUUUAGAAGCAUAAAUAUAAGGUGUUAUGUUUCAGAUUGUAAAAUACAUAAUGCUUUUAUAUAAAUACAAAAAUGUUUUAUGGAUGCAUUCAAAAAUUCAUAUAAUGCUUUUAUAGAUACAAAAAUGUUUUAUAGAUGCAUUCAAAAAUUCAUAAAGACAUAAGACAUUCUGAAUUUUGAAAUCAAAAUGUAGAAAAUGCAUUAUGAUAUUUGCUAUCUUAUCUUUAUUUGAUAUUUGUCAUCGACAUGGAAUCUUCUUAUGCAUUUCUUGACGUACACUUGAAUAAAAGCUUGAUGUAGCUAGUUUUAUUAUUGAAUAUUUCUUGCACUUCAAAAAUUGUUUUAAUAAGAAAAUAAUUCAAAAAAUUUAUUGAAUAUAUAACAUUGAAUUUUUUCAAAUACGUAUUGUACAAUAUAUUAUUUUCAUAUAAAAGAAGUUAGUUUAUAAUCAUUUGAUGUGAAAUAUUUUUAUACUUGGAUUCUGAAGUUGAUGGUAUGAAUUUAAUAAAUUUAAAAAAAAAUUAUAUAAUAUAUCUUUGUUACAACUUGUUUAUGUAAGACAAAGUUUAAGGAUAUAUAAACAUACAUAAGAUGUUGAAACUGUUUGUAUCAUUAAAUGGACUAGUUGUCCUACCUCUAGCACAAAACACAUAUUUGUUCAAAUAAUAAACACAUAUAUGAAGAUACUUUAGUCUAAGUAUGUCAUUAAAGCUCUUCUUAAAGAGUCCACUAGCGUUAGGUUGUCUAUAUGAGCUACAUAGAAGUUAGAUCAUCUAUGUUCUCAACAAAGUUUUGAUGAUAGCUAAUGUUGAAUGAGCUAUAUACAUAUUAUUACAUACAGGAACAUUUUAAUGUGUGUAAGUUAAAGCUCAUGAGACUAUCCAAUGGUCACUAUCAAUAUUAAAUGCUACAUGAAGUUUUACAUAUUAAGGUUAAAACUUAUAUCUAACUAAAUUGUAAUCAUAAAUUAUUUCUAGAGAUAAAAUGAAUCUUGGUAAAUUUGUAGUGUCACAUACGUCUUUAAUGAUUAAAUGCAACAUGCAAACGUAGAAUUUAUAUUCUAAAAUGUUCAUAUUAGAAUAUAAAAAAGAAAACAAAAGAAACAUAUUUUGAUUUACAAUUAUAUUGUAUUAUGUUUUUAUUACAUGUAUUUGAAAUGUUUCCUUAUGAAAAUAAGAAAGAGUUAAAGAGUAUAAAGGUUUUUUAUAAAAGUUUCUAGUCAACCCAUGUUAAGGGCCAUGUUAAGGGACGCAAUGCGUAAUCCACAUAGAUGAUAAAAGCUUAUUUCAAAGGAUUCAAACAAAAUAAGAUUGAAGCAGCGAUUAUCUUCAAAUGGUCUAUAUAAAGGAUUCAAGUUAUAUGUGAAGUACGUACAAGAGUUGUACAUUUUUCUAAGACUCAUAAUUUGCUAAGUGUUCUUUGUGGGUGAUGUGAUUCCAAUAACAUGAAAGAGAUAUGAUAUGGACAUGUUAUGGAUUCAACAAGAGUUGGAAUAUGAUUAGGCACUUUUUAAGAAUUGGAUCAAUGUUCUUAACAUUCAAGAACUCACCAAAACACAAGUAACCAAGCCAAACUCACAUAGAAACCCAUAAUAUGGCAUAUGAACCGAUUAAAACAAGAAAGAACACAAAUGAACCGAUUAAAACACAAGGAAACACAACCAAAACCACAAGAACAGCAAACUAGAAGAAACUACCGAACAAAAACACAAAACAAAACUAUUUCUACCGAUUGAAAAGACAAGAAACAUCAAAGACAUGUUUUAGAGUUUGUUUUGGAAUGGAAAUGGAUGAAGAAGAUGAAAAGAACUAGGAAACUUAUGUGGUUGUAGCUCUUGAAGAUGUGCACGCCACUUGAAGGAUGAAAGGCUUCAAGAUGAGUGUAGUUGCCGCCACUUGAGAGUCCAAGAAUGCACUCAAGAUAAGACUAGAAGAGAAGAAGUUACAAGUCUCUCUCAAUUCACUCACCAAUUUGGGAGAGGUUCUUUUCUCAAAAAAUCAAUUCUUAUUAUUUCAAAGACCUAAGCACCCUUUUUAUAAUAGAGAGGGUUAGUCACAAAGUACAAGAAAAGCUUACAAGAGAAGCUUUUGAAAGGUCACCUUCCUACUCCUUCUAUUCUAGCGCCUAAAGGAGUGUGAAGAGACAACUUUCUAGUUUCUUCCUAAAAACUAACGCCUAAGGUACUUACAAAAGAGGUGUCUUUUUGGUUUCCCUCUUAGUACCUUCCUAAACACUACUCCUAUAUGUUUUACAAAUUUAUACAAAAGAAAUUACAAAGAAAAAUAUUAAUUGGAGCCCAUUCUUGAAUUCUUGUUGGCUUUGGGCUUGAUCCUCUCUUUAUUUAAUUCUUCUUUAAUUUUUUAGAAGACUAGAAGGAAGAACUUUAAAUGUUUGGGUGGAUGGCCUCUUCCUCCAUUAGUAAAAUCCUCUCUUACUUGAUCUCCAUCAGUGGGUGAGCUAAACCUUUAUAUUUCUUUACUCUGUGAAGUAAAUCUUGUGAGCUUAAAUUAUUCUCCUUUUUAGAGUUCUUUGUUACUUGUUUUAAGGUCUAGAUCUUAAUCUUAGACAGAGACUAAGACAGGAUAACCGGAAAUAGUUUGUAUACUCAUUGUAAUAAUUGUUUGAUUAAUGAAACUUCAUAAGAAGUUGUCUUAAGGAAAAAUUAAAUGCAACAUGUGAGUUUGGAUAAACCGGUGUAAAACUACUUUUUAUUGUUUUGAUUUACUAAUUUCUCAUACAAUCUAAUCUAAUUGUUAGCAUAAAGUUUUAUUUAACCUCCCAUUCUAAAGUGAAUUAUUACAACAUAUUUCAUUUAAGAUAAUUAAUUAUUUGAGCAUCUUGAACUUACUCUUAAACUUUUGAAACUCAAAAUAAUGAAUAAUAUAUAAAAAUAAUCAAUUAUUUUAUUCUUAGUAUUCUCCAUCACUAUUUUUUCUCAAAUGAUUUACAAAAUCAUACUUAACCAUACAACACCAACAUUCUAUAACACUUAUUACCAUACAUAUACACAUUUUAAACAUAAAAACAAACCCAUUUCAUAACCACUAACUUAAACAUAUGAUGGAACGUUCAAUCAUUAAGUUGAAUUUUCUAACGUGCUACAAUAUUUAGUUGCAAUCAUAAUGUAUGGUCAUGUUAAUACUAGCCUUCAAAAAAUAAAUGAUUGUGAUUAUACUGUAAUAAAACUAAAAACAAUAAAAUUAAACACAUAAACAGUACUUAUAACAUACCAUCCAAAAAUAAUUAUUUUUAGUUGGUUUAUAUUAUUAAAACCUCUCAUUAUUCAUCAUGUCAUUAAUAAUUUUUUUUAAAUGAGUUCAUUCUUAUAAAACAUCAUAUCUAACAUUACUUGAAUAACAAAAUGAACAUCGAUGUUCAUAUUAAUAAUAUUAGGUAUAAAUCAAUACAAGCCAACAUGAGAACUUGUUUUAUUUUUAUAAUCACCUUUAUUUUUACUAUCUCCUGUUACUUGAUUUCCCAAAUAUAAUUGUCAUACAUAAAAAGAAUAACAUUCACAUUAUCUAACAUAUGAUAGCUUACACUUUGUAGGUCCUACAAAUCUACUAACUUGAGAUUUUAUUUAUUUAUUUUAACCUUAUUUAUUGAUGCCCAUAAAAAUAUGUUUAAAGUUUACUUUUGAUUGUCACUUUAUGUAUGAUAUAAAUGAAUUAGUUUAUAUACUUGUAUGUGAUAUAUUUUGAUAAAAUUGGAUAUGUGAUAUAUUUUGAUAAAAUUGGAUUAUUUAUAUUUUAUAGCUUUAUGUAUGAUAAAAUGUUAAUGAUUGUUUUAAAAUUAAUGAAAUAACGUAUUCUGAUUUUAACCGUUUAUAUAUUUUGACCUUGGAAUUGACAUUAUCCAUUCUGAUUUCAAAAUUAAACUUCUAAUCGCAUGUUUUUGUAAGAUUAUUCUGAGUUCAUCAUACAAAAUAUUUUGCAUGUUUAAGAAUAUCUACCAAUUAUACCACAAUAUGAGUACAGAGCACAGAGAAAGUUAUAAUUAAAUUCAUUGAAAAAUGUAUACAGAUUAAAACUUAUAUAAAUUUUAAUAUUUUGCCAACAAUCACUAUAACAAAGUCCCACAUCAUGAAGCAAGGUAAACUAUUAGUAUUAGCAAGUAACAUUUCUUACUCAUUCUUCAUCAUCCACCACAAGUGUUAUAAAGAACCUAUUGUUCUAUUCAAACUCAUAAAUAUCACAUAAAUAUAAAAACUUAGCAUAUCAUAGUAUGAUACAUCAUCAUACAUGCUUUCCACACCUCUAUACCCCUCCGAGUCGCGCGGCCAUCAACCUCUACUCUCCACCGAUGGACGAUUUCAACCGUCUAAUCCCUAUAGCGGUCGUCAUGCCUGUGGCGGCCGUCGAGCAGUCAUCCUUAUCGGUUCUAGGGGUGACUUGCGUUUUUCAAGGGCAGUGAAUUUCAACCUGCCCCGAACACCAAGGACCUCAUCCGAGCGGUCCCUGAGGACGACCUCCUCGACGGUGACGUCGAGAUGAUGUGUCGUGGCCUUAUACUGACCUGCCACGGGGUGGAGGCACACAGGCGGCGUAUUGAGGAGCUCUCGCGCCUCGAGCAUCAGCUUCAGAAGGCGUCCGACAACUUGAAGCAGGUUGUUGAGGCCAACAUAGCUUAUGAGAAGAAGUUGUGUGCGCAAGCUGCCAAGUUGGAGCUUGGUGCGGCCCGGAUGACCAAGUUGGAGAAGGUUGAAGCUGAGAGGGCGACUGAGAACGCUCGGCUAAGGAGGGCCCUGGAAGAGGCCGAGCGCAAGGGGGCAUCUCUAGAAAGAGAGGUUUUUUUUGCAUCAAGGGAAGGAGGCGGCAGAGGCUGAGGUGCUUAAGACCAUGGAGGACACCAUGGUCUUGAUUACUCAGAGCUUCGACCUGGCCGUCCGACAGGCUGGGGUGUUGUACGGUGGGCUUCAACCUUCUGGUCAAUUCGACCAAGAGAUGGAGGUCUUUGACGACCGAUUGGUCCCCAUGAGCGAGGUCCAGAAUUUGCAGAGCGCUGUCCAGCCUGCCUCGAGCGAGGAUGCUGAAGAUCAAAGCUUAGGUUUAUAGGUUUUGUAACCUCGUUCAUUUUGUUUCCUUGAGGCCUGAGUGUGGCCUCCACCUUUUGUUGAUGAAUAGAAUUGGUCAUUUUUGCUUUCAAGAAUUUGCAUAGGUUAUUUCCCUCGGUGGGUAUGAGUGUGAGUUAAAAACAACCAACCUAAUUAACCCCACUGGUGUAAGUUAAUCUUCUCGGUCGUUUAAAAAGUAAAUCAUUUAACGAAUUGGAUUGGGAUGGCGGUCGGCCUUUGAAGCAUAACGAGAUAACGAACAUGUAUUUGGACAAGUUAAAUCACUCGUCAGGUUGGUUCCACGUUCGGUCGUGAUGAGCGAUAUUAGAUGGAUCGAGAUACUCAAAUGGGUAUCGAGAGGAGGUGCAGGUUAAGGCUACAUCCUAACUGAACCGUGCAGUGCUGAAAGGGUAUGCUAGUUAAGGCUACGUCCUGGCCAACACUCGUAUUUGGGUCUCGGGAGGGUAUGUCGGUUAAGGCUACAUCUUGGGCGAACCGUGAAGUGUUGGGAGGGUAUGCCGGUUAAGGCUACAUCCUGGCCAACACUCGUGUUUGGGUCUCGGGAGGAUAUGCCGGUUAAGGCUACAACCGUGAAGUAUUGCGAGGGUAUGUUGAUUAAGGCACGUCCUGGCCAACACUCGUGUUUGGGUCUCGGGAGGGUAUGUCGGUUAAGGCUACAUCCUGGCCGAACCGUGAAGUGUUGGGAGGGUAUGCUGGUUAAGGCUACGUCCUGGGCAAAACUCGUGUUUUAGUCUCGAAAGGGUAUGCCAGUUAAGGCUACAUCCUGGGCGAGUCGUGCCUCUUAGGUUGAUUUUACGAUUUACACAUUAUUUGAAGAAAACGCCUUAUCAAAACCUCUUUGACCGUUGGUGCUGCCGGGCGAGGAAAGAGUGCAUGAAUUUAUUCAUCAUUCAGCUGAAAUAAAAUUUGAGGUGUGUGGCAUUCCACGUCCUUGGUACAAUUUUGCCUGAUAGCCGUUCUAAAUGGUAUGCUCCCCCUACUCCUACUUCUCGAACCCGAAACGGUCCCUCCCAGUUUGACGAAAACUUGCGUCCAACUUCCUAGCGUCGCUUUGCAUCCUCUAGACGAGGUCACCUUUGUGGAAGCUCUUUGGUUGAACCUUCGUGUUAUAUCUUCUUGCCGCCCGAAGUUUGCAAGCGGCUUCGCGGAUCUUGGUUUUAUCACGAAGCUUAUUGAUGAGAUAGAGUCCGACCGCCAAGCUUUCCUGAUUAAGGGAUAAGUCAAACAAUUGUUGCCUGAUGGACGGUUCACCCACUUCCACCGGGAUAAUGGCCUCGGUGUCGUAGAUAAGGUUGUAUGGUGUCUCUUGUGUCGUCGUCUGAGGUGUGCACCGAUAUGCCCACAGAACCUCAACCAGGUCUUCUGCCCAUCUUCCCUUUGUCGCGCCAAGUCUCUUCUUCAAUACAUUCAAGAGGACUUUGUUGGCCGCCUCGACUUGGCCAUUUGUACGAGGGUGUUCGACCGAGUUGGUCACAGACUUGAUGUCGAGGUCCUCAUAGAAUGUCUGGAGCCCUCGGUCAAUGAAUUGUUGUCCAUUAUCUGAUACGAUCAUGUUUGGCAGCUCGAACCUGCAGACGAUGUUCUUCCAAACAAAAUUUUGGACGUUUCUGGCUAAUAUGGGCACUGGGGGUUUGGCCUCUAUCCAUUUCGUGAAGUAGUCCACUGCAACCAACAGGUGUUUCGUCUGACCUUUGCCAGGUGAGAAAGAGUCGAUGAUGUUCAUUCCCCAUAUGGCAAACGGUUAGGGUGACGUCAUGUUGUGGAGUUCUUCUGGUUUUGAGUGGUGUAGGGGGUCGAAUUCUUGACAUUUCAAGCAUUUCUUUACGUACUCUGCACAAAACCUUGGAUAGUCGGCCAAUAGUAUCCUACUUGAAUGGUCGACCAAUAGUAUCCUACUCAGAUGACCUUGGCCGCCAUGAUUCCAUCCGGAGUGAUUACCGCAAGCUCCAUCAUGGAUUUCUUGCAAGUUUGCUUUUGGUGAGGCAAAGGAGUGGAGUACCCCUUCUAAGUUAAAAUUAUAGGUUUAUGUAUGACAUAAAUGAAUUAGUUUAUAUACUUAUAUGUGAUAUAUUUUGAUAAAAUUGGAUUAUUUAUAUUUUUAUAGCUUUAUGUAUGAUAAAAUGUUAAUGAUUGUUUUAAAAUUAAUGAAAUAACGUAUUCUGAUUUUAACCAUUUAUAUAUUUUGACUUUGGAAUUGACAUUAUCCAUUCUGAUUUCAAAAUUAAACUUCUAAUCGCAUGUUUAAGUAAGAUUAUUAUGAGUCCAUCAUACAAAAUAUUUUGCAUGUUUAAGAAUAUCUACCAAUUAUACCACAAUAUGAGUACAGAGAAAGUUAUAAUAAAAUUCAUUGAAAAAUGCAUACAGAUUAAAACUUAUAUAAAUUCUAAUAUUUUGCCAACAAAUCACUAACAAAGUCCCACAUCAUGAAGCAAGGUAAACAAACUAUUAGUAUUAGCAAGUAACAUUUCUUACUCAUUCUUCAUCAUCCACCACAAGUGUUAUAAAGAACCUAUAUUGUCUAUUCAAACUCAUAAAUAUCACAUAAAAAUAAAAACUUAGCAUAUCAUAGUAUGAUACAUCAUCAUACAUGCUUUCCACACCUCUAUAAUAGAUGCAAAUUUAUUUACAUAAUUUUACCUAUAUAUAUAUAUAUGUAUAUAACUAGUAUAUAUGCGUCAUGACAGUCACUCACAAAUUCAGUUACGUCGAAAAAAUCAGAAUAGGUUCAGAAACUUGCGAAUCUUCUUGGCGAACGAAUUUUCCUCGCGGUGCUGGUGGUGAAUCUGGCCGCGGUGAUGGUGUUCGCGAACGGAAUCGAAGCGCUCUGCGGUCGUCAGAGACCGUACCUCGGCGUCGGCGUGAACCGUGACCCAGCGCGGAUGGAUCCGGCUAGCGGAGGCUUUGUCGAGCACGAUCGCGUCGUUUCCGUAAGGGAUCUGGAGGCCGUGGCCGUGGCCGUGGCCGUGGCCGUGGCCGUGGCGGCAGCGGCGGUGGCCGGAGCGGAGUGAAAGCGGAAGCGCCGACGGAUGGACGUGGUGGAAGUGGCGGUUGAUCGGACGGAAGCGGAGGAACGUAAGGGGAACGGGAUCGAUGGUCGCGACGGUGAAGGAAACGGUGCCGUCUUGAGUUUUAGGUUCGGGACUGUUCAGAGGUUCGGAUUGAGGUUUAGGUUCGGGAAAGGGGUUUUGGAGAUCGUGCGCUAGUGUGAGGGUGAGGAGGAAGAGAAAGGAGAGGAAAACGGUAAGGGAAGGAGCUAUUCUCGCCAUGGUGUAGGGCGUGUUUGGCUGUAAAUGUGAAACGGGGAAACGGAAAGAGAUAAAAGGAGUUGCGAGGAAGGAGAAUUUUCUCGCUUAUGUCGUAAGAAUCACGUUGCAGCACGACUUGACUUUGUUCCAGGUAAAAUCAUCAUCACUAUAAUACUUUAUUUUCUUUUAUAUUUUUUUACUAGUUUUAAUGGGUGUUGAUGUAGAUAGAUCAAUAAAAUAAUGAGACGUAUGAAAAAAGGUUAUGUAUUUAUAACAUAUUUUUUAUUAUUAAUUCAAAAAUUCAAAAAAAUAAAUAUGUCAAUUUGUUUCUUUAAUAGUUUUUUAUUUAUAAUUUUUUAUUUUUAAUAAAUUUUAACAAUAAAAAAAAGUAUUGGAAAGAGUGGGUUGCUGACUCGUUCUAAAAAUAUUAAAUUGAUUUUAUAAGCUAUGUAAUAAAAAAGAAAUAUUUGAAAAGGAAGUAAACGAUAAAAAAUUGUAUGUAUGGGUGUUAUUUUUUAAUUUGAUAAUUUUAUAUUCUAAUAAAUAAAAAUAAUAUUUUUUUAAAAAUAAUUCAAUAAUUUCUUUAAAAAAUAAUGGUUGUAUAAUUUUUAUAAUAUUAUUUUUACAAAAUUAUAUAUAUUUUUAAUUAAUUACUCAUAAAAGUAAUAAAAUUAUAAAAUUGCAUAUAUUUUGAUUUAAUAAAAAAUAUGGAUAUACAUAUACUGAAGAGCAUGUGUUUUUCUAUUGUGAAUAAGAGUUCAAUUCAAAUUAGUAAGGUUGUCACCGAGUGUAUGAGUUAAUUUGCGUUGACUUGAUUUAGUUUAUUUAGUUGAUUUAGUUAGUGAUCUUAAAUUAUUUUUCUACACUAAAAAAAUUACUACGGUUAAAAAAAAUACAUUGCAAGUGUAAUGGAUAUUUUUAAUAGUAUAAUUUAUAAUUUUAACAAAUAAAAAGUAUUUUCAUCUUGAGAGUGUUUGUGUUUUACAUCUACUCAAAAGUCAUGUUAGUUGUGAUGUUUUUGGGAGAGUAAACACUUGUUGAUUAUAAAACACAAUAUGUAAACUAAAAAUUAAAAAAAAAAAUCAACAAUUAAAAUAUUAAUAAAUGUGAUUAUACUAAAUAAAAAUAUUUAAGGGUUCUUCUUUAUUUAACUGAUAAUAUAGUGAUGAAAAUAUAAUCAAGAGUAAAGUGUUUGAAACACUUUUAAGGGUUUGGAGGACGUACCAGAAGAGUAAGGACAAUGAGAGUCAAGAAAAUUUUACAAUAAGUAUGAUUCCCUUUUAUUAAACCCAAGAAUGACGACUUCUUUUUUCAUAACGUGGUUCUGAUAUCAACAAAUGGUAUAAACCCUCUUGUUUGUUAAGAUCUUGAGUUUUGACAUCUAGAAAAUCAGACAAAGAAUUGAAACAAGGAAAAAAAAAGUUGAACACUUAAGUUCACAGACAAAGAAUUAGAAUUAUGCAUUAUGAACAAAAGAUAAAAAAUGAUAUAGAAAUUGAGGACGCCACACUUCCCUAAGGACGAAAGUUAUUUGUGAGAAUUGAACAAAAAAAACUAACAAAUAAGGUCAAACAAUCUCCUCUUCAAUGAGACAAUUGAUGAAUAUCAACUUUGAUUCUUCAAGACUUUGUUUUAUUUUAGGAAGCUUUGUCAACCCUUGUUUUGAUUCUUCACAACUUUGUUUUAUUUUAGUAAGUGUUGUCAACCCUUGUUGUAAAGCUUCCUUUUGGCUCUUCUUGUUCUUGCUAUUGUCAUAGAUUCACCAAACUCAUUAAGUGUUUCAAACUCCUUACUUAUGGUUUUGUCCUCGCCACUAUUUUUAAUUGAACUAAGGUAUUAAUGAUUCUAAGAUGUUAUAGAAAAAAAGGAUGAAAUAAAAAAAAUCAUAAAAAGAAACAAUUAUCAUAAAUAAUAAAAAUAUUUUGUUAAUAGUGAAUUGAUAAAUUAAUAAAAUGAGUAAGAAUUAUUAAUGAUGACAUUUGAAUAUAGUUUAAAUAUUCAAAAUAACUAAUAAAAUAGUUUAAAUUAUCUUAUAUAUAUUUAGGCAAUAAAAUGUUUGACAAGUAGUGAGAAUGUGGAAAAAAACUUAUAGAAUAAAUUGUUCAAAAGAGAUUAUAGCUCAAAAAUGAUAAAAUUCAAAAGGUUAUUAUUUCUCUUAUUUAUUGUUGAAUUUUGUUUAAGCAAAUAAUGGUCAAGCUAUUAUUGUUUUCGAGGUAAUUGUAAAAAUUUCAAUAAACAUCAUAAAAAGAUGAACACGUAAACACAAGUUAUAAAAGGCAUAGUAGAGUUCAUUAUUGAAAAUGAACAAAAGUAUACAAUUGAUCAUAAAAUCUUAGUUGAGAUGAUUGCCAAUGAUUGUCAUAUUAGGCAGAUGAUGAAAUCAUGAGUAGCACAACACUAAUUGGGUCAACUCAGCCUCUUAGAAAGGAAAAAUAGGAGUAUGAUACAGGAUCCAAGGUUAACUCAGACAUCUCAGAUUACUAAUGACUCAGGCUCUAUCAUUUCGCAAAGGAUCACUAGGAGUAAAACACAAUAACAAGGAUCAGGACAUCAACUGUUCUCUUUUUUAUUAUUUUUAUAGACUAUGAUUUAAAUGUAAUAAAUUGGGCUUCUCCUUAACCCAAUUAGGGUAAUGUAACCUAGCUUUUAGAAACCCUAGCAUAUGAUGCACCUAAGUCACACUUUUCUCACAUUAAGCACAUGUUUAAAUGUGGAAAGUGUGCUUCCGUUUAGAUCCAUGAUUACAUGCGCAUGUUUAGGGACUUAAGUAGGGUUAAUUUGAAUUUUCCUCCUCCCUUUAAUUACGCAACACCUACUCUUAUAAAUAGAGAGUUUUCUCUUGUAAACUACACUUGAUUUUGAGUAAAGAAACUCAAGUAUUUUUCAAUUAGUCUAAAUUAUCUACUUUUACUCUGAGUGUUAUCUUGAGUGUGAACUUCAAGUGAUGGCUCUUCAUCACUCAUUUUGGAGUCUCCUUCCAAAUGGUAUGAUCAAUCUUCUUCAAUGAAUUUACUUCUUCCAUAAGCUUCCCUGUCUACUACUCUUUUCUAUCUUCUUAUUACUUCAUCUUUUUUAUCUUUGUAUUCAAUUCUAGUUUCCCAUAUUAUACUUCCAUGUCCAUGUAUGUUUUUCUUUAUUUUUCUACUCUUUAAAGGCCGUUUUCACACUUAUAUAAUUCCCUUUGGAUUAUAUUUGUGUCCAAUAACAAUUUUCAUUGAAUUUUAUCCAUAAUUAAAUUCUUCUAAAAUAAUAAAGUGAAUUCUUUAGAGAGGGUUUCAAGUUGUAUCAAGGUAAAUAUUUUUCACAAUUUAUCUCAUUGCGGUUUUCAAUUGAUAUUUUAUGUUAUAUUGAUAAUUACUUUUUUUUAGUACAUUGUUUUUAUUGAAUAAAUAUUGUCUCAUGUUAUAUUGAUAAUUACACCUUUUUUAGUACAUUGUUCUUAUUGUUCUCUCAACUCCUUUGUAUUUUUUACUUGAUCUAGUCUUUUGAAUUGUGCAACUUUUCUUUAGUUAAAUUCUUUUUCAGCUUUCAAUUUUAACUUCUUUCACAUUAUUUUGGUCAUAGACCUUUCGAAUUUUGUGUUUUUCAAACCAUCUUAGCUUGCCCUACCUCCAAGUCAUUUUUGAAUUAUUUGUUUUAGGCUAAAAUUUUUAAAUAUUAUUUUAAACCUUAUAUUUCUUUAAUUAUCUUGUAGGUCUAGCUUUAUAUGUAAUUUUUGACCCAUUAUCUCAUUGUCAAACAUUUUGAGCAUUACUAAAACAAUGCAACUCGAACAUCUGACUUCUUGAAUAUGUAAUAUCCAUUUAAGACUAGAUGUCAAGUUGCAUGAAAGCUUUUAUAAAAAUAAUAUCCAUUUGAGACUUACUAAGAUUCUAUGUUUGAUUCAUUGAAGGCAAAUUGUAUUUCUAAAAGAUCAAAUUAAACAAAUGUUAAUAAAUUAAAUGCAUCAAAAGAGAGAGAAAGGUAAAUGCAUCGAGAAAGAGAAGGGUGAGGCCCUUAUUUUGAUAAAAUUAUAGAAAUAUCAAAAGAGUCAUGUAUUUGAAGAAGUUACAUAUUCGAAAAAGUUGUUCAGACCAAAGCAGGGAUCAUGAAGAGCAUGGAAAAUUACAAUUACUUACUGUACAUGUAACUUUCCAGUGAAGAUAAGUGGACCUUUGACAAACUCAAUGUGUCAUGUAGUAAUAAAUAACUAAAAAAAAUAAGUCUAUAAAUAAAUAUUUGUACUUUUAUGGGGUGGAAAAAAUGAACAGAGUAACAAUAUUUCUAAAACAUGAGAAAGGGUAGUGAAAUGAGUUUGUGUCUUUAUUCACGAACUUUCUAUAUAAAUUAUUCAAGUUAUCAUUAUCUUCUGGAUAAAAUUUCAUUGCAAUUUAUAUUAUUGUUUCCUUAUUUACAAGGGUUAUUGAUAGGAAUUUUCCUAUCAAUUAUUAGAUAGUGGUUAGUUUUCUUACUGAGGAAUGGCUAAAGCAUCCCUUAUUUGAGUCAUUUAGCCAACUAACAAUCAAAAACUAACAUUAGUUGUUUGGACUAAUGGAUUCGACAGUGGUCAUUUGCUAAGAUAGCAUAUUACAAGUGUUAUGGUUUCAGUUUCUGGAUAUUAUUCUUGUUGAGAGGUUCACAUCAACUGAGAACAUUUUUCAUCCUAGUUCUUAUUAUAGACCAUGUUUGAGUCAACACGAGACUCAUCAUCAACACAUUUGUUGAUACAAUUUGUUUGUUAUAUAUAUUAAGGGUAAAGUUAUUGUAAUCAUAUCACUAGUUAAUACAUUUUGCACGUCUUGUAAACCAUAUUAACAUUUUUUUUCAUACAUUGUUAGUGGUUUUGAUUAACAUUAAUAAUAUUUAUAUUUUGAAGAGUAUUAGACAUAAUAAUUUUAUUAUUCCUUAAUUUCAUACAUGUCCGAAACAUUUAAAUUAGUCAUUAUCUCUUUACACAUUUUUCUUACUUUGUAAACACAAGUUCCACUGAACGUGUCAAUUUGUUUUUAUAAAAGAUGAAUUUAGUAUUUUAUUCAAUAAAAAACAAAUGCAGAUUAUAGAUUAUUUUUAUUUAGACUACCAAUCUUAAACAUUAAAUUAUAGGGAAAAUAUAGAAAUGUUCCUUUUUAUAAUUAGUUGAUUUUUGGAAUUAAAAGUACAAAAUGAUAAUUUAUACAUAUUUUUUUAGUUUUCUAAUUUUACAUUUAAAGAAAAUUUGCAUAAAAUGUAAAACUGUUAUAAAAGUAAAUGAUCAAGAUAUGUUGGAAGAUAAAAAAGAUGAAAUACUUAAAAGUCAAAAUUCUAGAUUAAAUAAAAAAAAAAAUCAAAGACUUCAAUAAAGAAAAUUGAAAUUUGUAAAACAACACAAUAUGAAAAAGAUUAACAUUGAAUCAACAUUAAAAAAAUUAAAUGAAAAGAAAAAAUGUAUAUUGCAAUGAAAUUUUACCAAGACAAAGAAAACUUGAAUAACAAAUGCAUAAAAUUGGUUAACAACACGGAUUAUUUCAUACAUUGACAUUUACACUACGUUGGUUAGAUGUCCACUUUUCUUUAUUUACAAAAAAAAAUAGACGUAGAGUAAACAAUUGGAACUUUCCACGUUCUUUGUAAUCUCUACUUCGAUUUAAAUUACUUUUCUUCAUGCAUGAAACUCUUCUUUACAUAAUUUAUAUAAUUUCAUAAAAAUAUAAAUCUCACUCUUUAUCCUUCUUUCUCGACGCUAAUACAAUGUCUUCGUGGAACAUAAAAUCUUUGGUAACUUCAAAAGAAUAUUAUUAUCGAAAAAUUCAAUUCUCUCACCCUCAAAUUUUAUACACCACUGACAACAUAAUUAUAAAAAUAGUUGUAAAAACAAUAAUCAUUAAUAAAAAUAUGGCAGUCAUUCUUAAUUGGAACAAUUCAAUAGUAAAUUGAUAACGACAAGAUAUAGUACGCGACUAACAUUAAGUUAUAAGCAUUUGUUGACCAUCAAAUAGGAUCAUUCAUUUAGCAACAAAAAGUUCCUUAUGAUCUUAUGAUUCAAUGCAGUUCAGCAAUUUCUGUGCCUAAUGCAA
rnacentral:lncRNA from 1 species